rnacentral:lncRNA from 1 species
CUUGACCUACAUGGACAUGACACAAGAAUAUAAUUCUUUGGUCUUUUGCUGCAUAGUUCAUGAUACUUAACCCAUCAAUAGGGGUUGAGGAAACAAUCUUUAUCCAUGAUUCCUCUGAACAAAUGAUAUGUUCUGGUCUAAAUGGACCGUUGAAUGAUUGUGCAAUGGCUUUGAAUGGUGUAACAACGACCUAUAUAUCAUCAUUACAUCACCAGGCAUAAUAUAUUAUAGAUGUUAAUUUUUUUUUCAUUGAUCAUUCUCAAACUCUAAUCAAUUCAUAAUAAACUAAAUUAGUGCCACCAUGAGUUUUGACUUACGAAGUGUGCAAACUUAUUUGGAUUUUGACCUUUUUAUAUUUUGUUUAAUAAAAUGAAAGCAAAAUAUGUUCUUCCUAUUUAUGCAUUUUAACACAAAAUCUCUGUUUCGAGUCCAACCUCCAUCCCCACUAAACACACACACACACACACACACAAAGGAAAACUUUUGAAGGUGAAUGCACCUUAACCUACUUUGGUCUAAGACACUCUACCAUCAACAGGGGUUUAGGAAACAAAUCUUCAUCCAUGAUUCCUCUAAAAGAAAUGAUACGUGUUGGUCUAUAUGGACUGUCGAGUGUUUGUCAAAUGGCUUUGAAUGGUAUAAUGAUGACUUGUGUAUAAUCAUUACAUCACCAGGCAUAAUAUAUUGCAGAUAAUAUUUCAUUUUUAAAUAUUAUUUGUUAAAUUUUAAUCAAUUCUUUAAUAAAUUAAAUUAGUAUCAUCUUGAGUUUGGACUUAUGAAGUGUGUCAACAUCUUUGGAUUUUGACUUUUUUAUUUUUAUGUUAAAUAAAAUGAAAGCAAAAUAUGUUCAUCCUAAUCACACAUUUUAACACAAAAUCUGACUCUGCUGAAGUUAGAAGGUAAAUAUAUCGAAAUUCAGAAACUCUAUUUAUAGGGUUUAAAAUCAAGUUUUAUAAUAAGCAGAUGUCUGGUUGUCAGUUUCAUGGGAGUUGCUUUUGUGACACCUGAAACUUAAUCGAAUCGGCAAAGUUUCAUCCCCCCCCCCUCUUCCCACCAAACCACCACCAGAAAGUCAUAACGAAAAGAGGUUUUGCAGAUUAAAUUUAAGAAAUGUUAUUUGAUUUCAUGGUUUUGGCGAUAGGUAUCAUACCUGCUAUUAUGUUGAAAAGGAUGAAGUGUUUUGUGGUUAAAACAGGAGAGGGUUUUAGGGUGUUAGUUCCUGUAUUCUGAAAAAAAUCCCAAAAAAGGAGAUAAUUCAAGGGAUGGAAAAAAGGGGAGAGAAGAUAAUAUUUCAUGGAUACUGUAAAUCCAUGCUCCACAUGGCCUCUUAAACAAGGCCCAUCUACCCAUGAUUGUGUUCUGCCCAACCAUCUUGGGGUUAUGCUAUAGAAUGUCUUUUGCAUGUAGUGAAAGCCUAAGAUAUGAGACAUAUAAGUGACUGGAACAUGGAUUGGCUUUGACGAGCUACUAAAUAAACGGUGUGCACAUUCUUUUGCAUCACUUAAAAAGAUUAAUAGGCAUAGGCUUGGGGUGCUGCAAUGCUCCAACAUACGUGAUGGCUGCUGGUUGAAGGGACUAGAAUGCUAGAGAUGUGAAUAUAAGGCACUGUAGCACUGUGGUUUAUACCUAGUUGUCUUCUUGUAAGUUUCUGAACAAUAAGAAUGAAAAUGUAUGUAUGUCACGAUUUGGGUGGCUAACUAUGUGUUGACAUAUGCAUGCUGACAUGCAGAACUUCCUUUCUUUAAUUAUGGUAUAUAGGCUAGAUCUAGGUAUUGGCUUGUGCAUUUCUGACAAUAUAAGAACUUUAUAUGAAUGGUAUAUAUAGUUAGUCUGUGCUUAAUUAGUUUUUGCCUAUGCUUAUGUUGAUCGUUUCUGUGUACUCCAUUCAUAUUUAGUGCGUAGGUAACUGCAUUUCUUGAUACUGAUCAGUCUGCUAUCUCUUGUGACAGAGGCAUGUUGCAGAUUUCUACAUAUCUGACCCCAAUACUGGGACAAGAUUUCUUGUAAGAGCAGGAAAUGGAGCCAAAGUCACUUCUUUUGUUAAACUUGCAACCGUUUUAAAUGUAAACAAGGAAGACAAAGAGCUAUCUCCUGACUUCGUAAGCUGGCUGACAGAGCGUAAUAUUUCCAGUGAUGAUCACGGGAUGCGCCUUGAGGAGGGGUAAGACAAUCUAUUUACAAAAGACUUAUCAUGAUAGGAUUAUGAAAACUGUGCUCCCAUGAGUAUUGUUCUUUAACAUUACAUGUGUUCAUGGUAACUCUUUUCAUAUCUUGAGUAAUGUUGGUGAAACUUUAAUUAGAGUAUUAAGUACCAUGAAAAUCCCUUCUUCAAAGCUUGGAAUGGGUGACAAACGCUGUUAACAUGAUGGACAUCUUGUCAGCGUCAGGUGGUUAACUGAAACUGUAAGAUGUUUACUUAUGGGCAGAAGAAUUGGAACAUUCUGGUUGAAAGAAAUUCUGUUUAUUCUUGCCUUAAUACAGAAACUUGCAACAAUAUGGUAACAGACUAACAGUUAAGUCAAAAUAUCUUGUUGAUUGUACAAUACUAUUGCAAAUGGUUGCAUCUAAAAAAUAGUAGAUUUGGGUCCUUUUUGGGUUUGAAUCUUGAUUAAUCAAUGAACAAUAAAUCAAUAUGCAAUUUUGACAUAACAUUAACCAAAGCACAGCUACACCAUGAUAUUUAUUUGAUCAAUUAUAGUUUUGCAAAUACAUACCUCAAAUCCUUUGCCUAAAAUUCUUUUGCUUAUGAUGUAUAUUCUAUGUAUUGCUAUUUAUAGUUAUAAAUAGUAUAUUUAACUGUACAUAUGGUGCCAUUUGUAGCCUUCUGCUUUUGUUGUUAAGAUCCCUUCCUAUGACCAUCUUGUUGUAUCAGUGCCUAAUCAUAAAUUGAUGUCCUCUUUUUCAAUCUCUCUCUCUCUCUCUCUCUCUCUUGACAACCAGCUAAGGCGAAAAAUAAAAUAUAUGAUGUUUGUUAUUAGAGAUAGUCUUGUAUAUGUGCUUCUUGCAUCAUAUGACAUGUAUGAUACUGUGCACAAAUUGGCAUGCACUAGCACAGAGAAAUAGACAAAACUAUUGGAAGAUGCUUCAGAGGAAUGUUAAGAUGAGCUGAGAAAACUCCUUUUUGAUUCUAGGUCUCUUUUAAUUUAUUUGUAGUGGCAAUAGGUGAUCGUGCUUUCAAUAGUGAAAAAAAAAUACUAUUAAUCUUUUGAAGCAGACUUGCAACUUAAUUAUUGCAUUAUAAAAUUUCUUUUUUUUUUGAUUUUAUUGGGUUAGUAUAAAAAAUAUUACAUAAUAUGUUAUCAAUUGCCAUCAUCUUAAUUAUCAUGAUUUAUAUUUUCCUUGAUCUUGGGCAUUUCCUUUGAUGGCGGCACAUUGUAGAUCUAGAAAUGACAUUUUUUGAGCUCGUGAAUUAAGGAAAUUAAGUUCAAAUGAUUAAAGCUUUAGCUAAUAAUGUGAUUGAUGUUUAUUUUUGCCGAACUGCUUGUCGCCUAUUUAGAAAGAUUGGUCAAAUUAGGCCUAGAUUUAGAGUUUUAGAAAAAUCAAUUUUGAAUUGUUGAACUGGAUGGUUUAAGCAGUCUAAUUGGUCGAAUCUAGUUUGGAGCUGUUACUCACAUUAUGUAACAAGAGAGCAAAUGGCCCCACCCCCCCUUUGCAGCAAACCUUCACCUAUAAAGAGUGCAUGCAGCCUUCCUUCUUAUGAGAAGGAGAGUUAUGCUGAAAUGCUGAGACUGUUCAUGGCAAAGGGAUGAAGCUCUUGACACAAAACAAAGGCCAGGGAACACUCAUGUCAGAAAGGAUGAAAGCAAAGGCUUAUAACUUGAGAGAUACGAGAUUAAAGCCAUGUGAGAUUGCUCACAUUGAAGUAGAGCAUGAAAGAAAAAGCAUAGAGAGAGUUUGAGCAAUGGGCAAAGAGGGAAAUCCCUUAAUACAAGGUGGUAAACCAUCACAGUAUCACCCCAUUCCUUCUCUCUUCAUCCUACUUCACCUCUCUCCACCAUAGUCACCUCUUUUCUUUGUUUGUAUUCCAUAUUAUCAGAAGCAACUGCCUUCUCUCUCUCUCUCUCUCUCUGCGUGUGUGUGUGUGUGUGUGUGUUAUGCACUCACUAUAAUAACAAGCCCAUGGGUUUAAUGUAAAAAGGGCGUAAAGAGGAAGGAAAAUGAGAAUGUCAUUCUCAGGUCCCAGCCAUAUCAAAAGAGAAGAAAGGAGGGUGCAUGCAUGGUUUCUUAGGUCAUGUUGAUGCCUUCAUAAAAUUGAUGUAGACUCCAUUGGACAAUGUUGGGUGUCUGCCAUUUGUUUCUUGCCCCCACCUCAUGUCCCUGGAUGUUCAUGGUCAUUUCACUCACUGACAACCAUGAUCACGUCGGAACACUACAUGUAAAGAUAUGAACAGGGAAUGAUCAUGCUGAGCUAUGAAUCAAUCCUUCUAAGUUGAGACUAGCUAUGUUGAGUUGUGACAUUCUAAAAGCCAUGACAUUAAUUGUUGCGAUCACUUCUCUCCUUGGUAGUGUUUUGCCAUCUUGUGAUCUGUAUCACCGAACUUUUACUAGAUUUACUGUAUCAUCACCAAGCUAUGAUUCCAGUCUACCAUGAUGAUCACAUUGUUGUGGAUUUGGAGGAAGAAAAUGUUCAUGCAUAUACAAUGUUGACCUCCUCAUCUUAUUAAGUUAGACCAAGUUGAGACCCAUCUUCUUGAGCUAUGACCCAUUUCACUAAAUUAUAUAUGUCACUAGUUUGGGUUAAAGUUUAUUCAUUUAAUUAUUAAUAUCAUCUUAUUGCACUGUAUUGUACCAGCGUCUCCUAGUCAAGUUAUGAUGAUGUUUUCGAGUGACCAAUAUGUCUUGGUCGCAUGACUUUUAAAAGUUGUAACUGCUUCCAUGUAAUAUCUUGGUUUGCCUGGAUUAUGGCUAGUUUGCUAUAAAGCUUAUUGUAUAUCAUAAUACAUGUGCGCUCGCUUGGGAUUUUAUCUCUUUGUGCAUGUUCACACUAUUACAAUAGCCAUUUGGUAAGAAAGGGUUAGUGUUCUGACCAAUUAAUUAGAGGUUAAAGGAUGUAAUUGAUUGUGUUUUAUCAAUACCAUAGGACAUAGUUCACCCAUAUUUCCAUAUAACUAAUUCAAUAAAAGGACUUAUAAUAUUAGGAUGUCAAUCAAUUGGGUUGGGCCAAGGCCUAAUCUCGAUCAAGGUUUAAAUCCUUGAGCUCAAAUCAUGCCCAACCGAAACUCAUCUAAAGCUGUCAGGCUUGAUCCAACCAUGGGGUAGGGUAGGUUGUUCUAAAUUUGAGCCCAAGCCAAAUUUCACCUGUAAAAGCCAUAGCUUGGCUUAGAUUUGUUCAAACUUCAUAGGAAUCAGGCUUAUUGGGCUUUAGUGCUUAAAUGUUGGGCCUAGGCUGGGUUUUCAUGGGUCAGGCCACUCUACCACUCAGUCCAGGUUGACCGAUCAAUGAUCAUACGAACCACAUUAUUAGACAAUUUGAUUCAAGGUUCAAAACCUAAUUUUGGUUUUGACCAAAACUGACCGAAAUCAAGUUUUGGUGGUCAGCUUCAGUUUGGUUCUGGUUAUAACUGAUCUGUUUUAGGUGAAACUUUAAUCUUAAUUUAAUUCACACAUAUUGGUAUAAUUACCAACUCCUAUAAAUUGUUUCUUUUUUUUCCGCAUUCUAGGUGCAUGUUGGGAAAUUACAUAAUAUACUAGUACGUAGUAGGACUGGAAUCUUGGACACCCCACACGCCAUGGGGUCUUUCUAUUAAUGGAUAUACAUUAGGCAUUUAAGAAACAAAGCUUUGAUUUUUUUUUCUCUCCUGACAUGCCACUUCACAAACCAACACAAGAGCAUUCAUUCGUCACAAUUUGUGGUUCCCUCUUCUUCUACUGAAAUACAAACUCCCUUGGUGGGUAGUAAGUGAAUCCCCUUAUGCGGUACUACAUGAGAUGAAUGAAGUUGAUGCUUCAGCUUCCAUUCUUAAUGCAUUAGUUCUCUUAGUCCCCUCUUUUCCUAAAAAAUGCUAAGCAAUAGAUAGGCAUAUAGGAGUCAUAUUAUGAAAAGAAAAAAUGUAUUUUUGGAAUUAACUAUCAUAAAAAUAUAAAAUAAUAUGUAAAACCUAUCAUUACUAUUAUUGAGGGCUCAACACUUUAUAGUUGUUUGACUUGUCAUGAAUUAUUUCCCCCUCUCACCAAAUCUAUUGGUGCCCACCUAUUGACCCGCCGUGAAACUCCUUAAGAAAAAUGAAGCUCUCUCCAUGAGAGAGACUGCAAUAUUCUAAAAUCCUCUUGCUGUGUGGGUUUUCAAUACCAACUUUCAGCAUGAUUUCGAUUACUAUCAUAUGCAAUUGCAUGUGCCAAAUAUUAGUUCUAUGUGGUGCCUAAUAUGAAAGUGUCUCUAUGCACUAUUUGCUCAUUGUCAUUGACUAAGUGUUAUUUUAAAUGGAUUUAAGUGCCAUUUGCCAUAGCAUGCAUGAUAUGUACUGUGCCAAUGCCUUAUUGGCACAUGGCGUUGGCAAGAUACAGGCUACAUGUUAGCUUUUGGUAUGCUAUUGUGCCUAUAUAUGCCAAGUGUUGGUAGGCCUGAUGAGCUGCACUACAUACCAUGCCAUUGCUACAUUAGCAUGCCAUUGGCAAAUGAUACUUAAAUCCUUGGUUCAAUAUAUAUUAUUUACAAUAUUUUUUCUUUACUCCAAUUUUCCUUUAUACAAUGUCUCAUCAAAGUAAUUCAUCGUUUAUGGUUGACAAAUGUGAAAGCUUCUUUGUUUGAGUAUUAAUAAUUGAUUCAUCUAUGUCAAAGAAUAUAUGAGAUACAUUUAGGGAUUCCCAUCCUAAUUACAAUAUUUUUCCUUAACUACACCAAUUUUCCUUUAUACAAUGUCUCAUCGAAGCAAUUCAUCAUUUAUGGUUGACAAAUGUGAAAGCCUCUUUAUUUGAGUAUUAAUAAUUGAUUCAUCUAUGUCAAGCUAUUCUAGAAGACCAUAAUAUAUGAGAUACAUUUAGGGAUUCCCAUCCUAAUGGUACCAUACUGUUUUGAUGGGAGAAUAGUACCAAGACGGCCCACGGGACACCGGUUCGCUCAUGAACCGGAAUGUCCUGGUACCAGUUAGGACUAGCUAGUUUGUUAGCCGGUCGCCCAUACCAACAGGGACAGCCAAAACGACUCUAUUGGCUUUCUUUUGCCUUGUGGGUUUAGUCAUUAGAGGUAACUUAGAGAGGAAAAAAGAGAAAAUUGAAGAAAAUUUAGAGUAAAAAUUAAAAAAAGAACCUGCAAGAAGGGGUCUCCUAGUAUUGUAUCUGUUUAAGAGGCUCAAAAACUUUAUUUAAGAGGCUAAAAAAAUUAAUAAAAAAUCAUUAGAUCUCAUAAAAGUCCUGGACAAGAAAAAAAGGGGUUUGCAAGCAUCUUGAUCUGAUGAAGUAUUGGGAUGCUCAUUCAUCUUGCUUAUCGGGAUGGGAGUGUCCUGAUAUUAAGCCAACUGGGACCAGAUUGGGACAGGGGUCUGUAGAUCUUAUAUCCUUGCAUGUAGCUAUCAGAUGUGGCGGUUCUUGCGUUGCUCUUUUGUUACUCUUUUGAUUGAUGCUCACAACUUGCCAAUGCAAGUGACAUACGUUAUCUAGUAUACUGGAAUUGACAAAGUUAUCAAGUUAUGUUUUGGAGCUAAGGACUCACGGCCGUAAGAGUGAAUGGUUAGGUACUCAAAAUGGAUCCUAACUGUAGGAAGCCCAAGUUCUGGAAACUCAGUAUUUUGAAUAGAGCGAGCUUCCUCCUUUUGACAGUUUUUCAUGAAUAUAUAAUGCUGCCAAUGAUACUUUAUAUUGCGUUUUUGGUAAUAACCAUCUCAACUCUCUAAAUUGUUACUAACUAAUUUUCUUGUCAACCAAAAUGGAUGAUAUUUUCUUUCCUUGUUCAGUUCUUGGUUUUCGUCCCAUUACUUGCCCACAAAACUGCCUUGACCAAGACAAGUGAUGAGAGACUACUUACUGGCUUAUGAUUGCUGCUUAUUGCAUUACACGGCAGGGCGGCAUUUGUACAAGUGAAAUGCUUUAUCCAUAGGAAUUGACAUUUAUAUAAACCCAAGAAAAUGGAAAAAAUUGAGCUUUUGGCCUUACUUGCUUAUGGUUUUUUUUAAGUACUGCUAUGUGAAGAUUCUUCCAGAAAACCAUUACAUUUCUAAAUUCUGGUGACAGUCGUCCCCUAAAACUUGAAACAGCAAGAACAUAAAUAUCAAUAAAUACACUUAACUAACCUAGCUGAGUCAAAUCUGUUUCUCUACAUAUUGCAAUUAUCUGCCCUUCUUUUUCUGUUUCUUUCUGGUUAUUGAUUGGACGUUAUAUCCCCACAUUCUUUCUGAUUAGCAAUAAACUUUGACUUUUAGUUUUUGUCUUUCUAGGUUUAAUGAUAAUUGCACGAACUUAUUACUUCUCAUUUGGUAUGACUUGAUAACCUUUUGUUGCAAAUAUCAACAAAAGUUCUCUUUCCGAAGAUAGGAUAAUAUUAAUUGCAUCUCCAGUAUUCUUGGUUGCGUUUGCUGACUCUCAAUUUGCAAGCAGUUUUUGCAGUAGAAAUGUUGUGUUUCAUAUGAUUAUCUUGAUCAUUUUGUUUAUCUUAAAUUGAUGUGACAGUUUUAUCAAAGAGGGGAAUACCGCAAGUGUGAUAGGCAUUCUCAGGAAGCAUGAAAAUCUGAUUAUUAUUGACCCACCUGCGGAUGCUAUUUCGACUGGUUGCCAAUGGGGAAGAUGCUUUGUUCCCGUGUUUGUCGAAGGCCUCAUUCUGAUUGGAGAUGGAGGUCCAGAUGAGGUGAUCUAUCAUGUAUAGAUAUUGCUAGGUGAAUGCGGUAGUUUCAAAUUGCUAGGAGAAAGCAGCUUUGUUUGUUCUGUAAAUAUGUUGUGUAUACGGGGAGUGGGAGGUGGAAAAACACUAGAAAGGGAGUGGAUAAGUAUCAAUGCCCCAGAUUCAAUUUAUUGAGGAUCAAAUAAUGAGUUAUAUAGUUGCUUUCUGUUUUCUUUUAUAAAUGCUGCCGUUCGGUCAUGAUAUAACGGGGAAUGUAAAUGUACAUAUUUUGUUCUUCCUCAUUGUAUUAGACCAAUGUGUUUACGUGGUUAUCUUUGCUUUCCUUUCAUCAUUUUUUCUCCCCAGUUGAAUGGAGAGAAUGGGUAGGACCACCUUAUGUCAAUAUUCUCAUUCAUACUAAAUCUGCCGAAACUGUAACCUGGUGGAUGUUUCUCUGUUUGUUGUUGGCGUCUCCAAUUUGAGAAAUCUAGAUUGGCAUGCAAACAAAGACAGCAUGAAAUGAAAUGAGAAGAUCAUUUGCUAUUGUUUUUGAUGUUCAAGCAGUGCAAAUGCCCGAUUCUGUUCAUGCUAGAGUGCUUAUCCUCAUGGAGGACGCAGAACAGAAAGGGCCCCAUCUGAUGUGAAAGCUGUGUUCUUUUUGCUUCAUUCAUGCACGUCGGUUCUUGUACACUGCUCAUUGCACCACUGAGGACCCAUUCCCGUUAUUGGUAAACCUUUCCCUUGUGAACAUUGGUCUUCUCCUUGGGGGUGUGUGUGAUGGUCUUCAGAAGCCAUCCGUAGUCAACAUAAUUUUUGGUUUCUAUUAACACGAUAUGUCUCGACACUAGUUGCAGAAGUGUGGAUAUUUUUUCAAUUUCUGUAAUCUUUAAUCAGGCCUCUGUUAAACGGUAUCUCAACUCUUAAUCUCGCACACUCGAUCCAACCAUAUGAACAUGUCAUCGCUAGUAUACCUUACCAAUCCGAAUCCCUCUCUCUACGUCUUCCAAACACUAAUUCUAAAUCUUUUCCAGCUUUUUUUAUUUGACAGCCUGGGACCAUUUGCUUACAAUGUCUCAUCUAUAACAGUCAAAAUUUGAUUAGAAUUGUCCGAUAUCUAAAAUCUUUAGGUUGAGCGUGCAUUUGGACAUGCAUUAUAUAACCCGGCAGUAUGAAGGGUAUGAUAUGCAUCCGGUGUCAUGGAAACUAUGUAUUGGAGGAUUCGAUCUUGUAUUCUGUUCGCAAAUCUUGCUAUUUUCUUACUUGGAGCAUCCGUUCUUAGCCACUUUAAUGCUGUGAUCAUUUGCUCCGACAGCUGAUGGCCAAGAUUAAGCAGACAAAACCUUUGUUACCAACUGCACCCUAGAACUGAAGGCUGUGAUCUUUGAUUUAUUGGUUUGCUACAUCUUUCGAACACGAUUUCAUCAGAUAUGCUAAACAUACUAGAGCUGAGUGUGCUGCAUUUUUUUUUUUUCGCUGAGAAGGCAAGAGCCUAAUCACAUUAAUAACUCUCUUAAAAAGAACAGAAUUUACAUCAGUUCAUACUCUAAUUGAUGAGGAAAAUUAUCAACCCCAAACCUGUAACCAUCCAUAGAAAUCGAAGUCAGAAUGAGGCAUGGUCGGAGGAAGUUUAGGCUUACAGAUUAUUUUCUUCUUUUUUAUUUUCCUGGAGAAGAGACCAAUAACUUCCAAUGGAACACUGCAAAAGGUUUUAGACGUCUCCACCUACACCUGGCAUCAGGCGCAGGACGCAGUGCAUGUGAUUAAAGAAUAUUAUAAAGAUGCUUAACAGGCAACCUGUUACAGGGUACGUUACAUGUGGAAGAAGAAUUUGAUUUUAGUUGGCACCUUUGUCCCAAAUUACACUUGUCAAAAAGUAUUCAUCGAAUGGUAAUGAUUACGGCAGCUUCUUUUUAACAUUAACUUUGUGAAAGCUCAUGUCUUCCAAAUAAAAACCCUUUCAGAACAACCAAAGGGAACAGGAAUAGAUGAGCUAAGAAAAACGAGCUCCAAGGAGCUAGCGUAGCUGGGUUGAGGAUUUAGCUCAGAAAGAGUGGCCUAAUAGUUCAGCUCCAUGACAUCAAACUAACCAACCAUGUUUUAAACCAACCAAACACAAAAUAUUGGCGUGAAAGAUAGCUCGAGCCUCACAUUCUGCAUGAGGAUGUGAAACCGUUCAGCAUUCACAAUAUAUCUAAUUUCUCAAGCUGACUGAUAUGGGAAAAGAGCUCCGAAUAUGAGAUAUAACCCUAAUCCAGUUGGGCCAGUCACUUCAGAUCCUUUGAAUCUAAAAAAAGCAUGAUAGAUGGCAAACAGGAAGGGUUAAUAAUUUGAUGCAAUAAUUGCACAUAAUUGUUUUAGAUUUUCUGCUGUUUCCCUUAAAAAUUGGGACAUAAAUUCCGUUGUCAUGCAAUGACACUUCCAUCUUAAAGAAUUUCAGAAAGGAAAAGGCUAUAAAUCACUCACUGCUGAUCGCCACUCAGUUCACAGGGUAUGCGGAAGUCUCCGAUUGGCUGAGUGCAGGUGGAGCCCGACUGACACCACUGACCCACCAACCAUGUUUAGCCCCAAUCCCUCACUACCACAUCCCAGGUGAAAUGGGCAGUGAUCAUUAGCCCGUGAGUAGAGGAGCAUUCUUUGAGAAACCCAAGGCAACUCAAUACUCUAUAAAGAUGGUAUCGCUUGUGUGUAGUAAAUUAAAACCCUACAAGGCACAAAUGGACGAUAUUAAAAUGACUAAAUCGUCCAAAAUAUGCUAGAAGAGGGCUAUGACAGCGACUUACUUAAACCCUGUGAAAUGACAUUUAUUAGCUAGACUUUGGGACAUACGGAACGUAGAUUUAUCUUUUUUUCAGGAAAGAAAAGAAGUCUGAAGAACAGCAAAUAUAACUGAUCACAACAAAGCCGGAGCUUCAGAGGGAUUAGAGUCUUGAAGGCGUCCCUCCAGCAACCACGAGGGUUUCCCCAGAGAUGUAUGAUGCAUCAUCAGAUGCUAGAAAGGCAGCAGCUGCAGCCAUGUCUUCUGUUGUCCCCAGCCUCUUAAGCAAAGUUUGUUCCUCAAGUGUUUUUCUCUGCAGAUAUACUUCUCAUUUAGCAUAUGGUAGAUCAGCAAUAAAAGGAGAAAUAUUUUUGGGAAACUGACUAAUGAUUCUACGCAAUGAAAUUGAUGCUAAAACUGGGUUAUUUAACAUUCAUUCUCAGUUGUGCAUAUACUCUGAAACACAUUCAAGAAGAGGUUUGCACUAAAUGUGGAGCCACUAUUUGCAAGUAUGAGACUUUUGCAAAAGAUUAGUGCAGACAAUGGAUCAUAAUGGUUUCCUAAUCCAUCAUCUAGAAAGCACUAAGGCAUUUAUCAUCUAUGUAUUUCUUCUUUAAACAUCUGUAAUAUGUGGACAGAAAUGACAAACAGUGCAAUAACAUUAAGACCUAAAAAUAGAGAAAAAUACAUAUGCUCAGAAUACUUACAAUGGUUUCAUCUCUUGUGAGGAAAUCAGCAAAAUGCGUGGGCACAAAUCCUGGAGCUACACAGUUAACACGGGUGUCUGGACUCAUCUCAGCUGCAAGGGCCUGGAAGUGAACAUAUAAAAAAAUAUUAACACAUACUGCAGGAGGGUGUAUAUGAGCUAAACUGUUAUAUAGUGCUACAUCCAUCAUUUUUGACUAGAUUGAUAGCAAGUAUGAGGGAUCAAAUGAAUUGCAGAUUACAUGACAGCAGCUACAGGCAAAUAUGGCUCUACUUAUCUACUAUAAUAGAUAUAGUUUUCAUGAGGGAAAAUAUGUAAUUGUACUCUUCUAACAAACAAAUGCAUAAUUCAAAUAUGUUUCAGCAUAUUUAUAAUGUUAAAACAUUUUAAUGAAGGAGAUGCUUACUAUUGCAAGAGAGCCUACCGGUUAAUUAAUUCUAUAACAAAUCAGAAACAUACAAGACAUAAAAAUGUUACCUUGCAGUUAGUCAAAACCAAUACCAAGCUAGUAAUCUACCAAACAGGUGCAAGCUACCGGUGUUUUAUAUAUUUUAUAUCAUGCACAUCACUGCUACUGAGACUUCUUACUCUCAAAGGAGGUUAGCUCAUUUUCAGUUCUGCUUAGGCAUGUACAAGAGAAAAAUCUAGCCAAAAACUAAGUAGAUCAUUUAGGAUGAGACUAGGAGAACCCUCUCAUGAAUAAAAACACCAGUUCAAUAUAAAGACCCCAUCACUCCCAACUGUUGACAUCAUGCAUUGCUUCCACUCCUACAUUUAAAGAAAAAAGAAAGUGUAGGAGUUGGUUUUAGAAGAAAAUAGAAGAUACAUAAUACAUAUGGAGCACUGCAUAAAGAUCAUGCAUAAGGAAUUAGUAUGGAAGAUAUCAAACAUCCCAAAAAAGACAAACAAGGAGAAUGCUAUCAAAUAAACCUCCUGUCUUUGAUUUUCAUAGGAAAGAUCAUCUUUAUCCCAUUCACACACAAGUGCAUGAAUAUCUCCUUGUGGUUCCUUACUUUUUUAAUAGACUUUGCAGGCCAUAACCUAGGUAGCCAUAUCGUCUACUUAGAUCCUGUAAUUGCCUGGUUUGGAAAUUUGGUAGCAAUAGGUCCAGAAUACACCUUAAAAAUCGGAAAUCUCAAAGACCCACAAGCAAGAAAAAAGGGAAUUUAAUUAGUUUAUUGGUGCGUUCUUCUUACCUGGUAAGAAUCAUCUCUUAAGAUGGGAUAUUUUCAAGGAAAAGCAGAAUGUUAUAGGAAUAUAUAAGGGCACAGCAACACCUUAUUUUAUCUCAUUUGAUAUUUAGAACCUCCAACCACAACUACCAGAAAUAUAAUUAAGAAUGCAAAGAACAAGGAACAUGACAUCCUUAUUCUCCAUCAAUUUAUCAAAUAUAUCACAUUUUCCCUUCUUCCAACUCUAAAAUAACCUCUUGUCUUUAUUAAGUUCAUCUCCUUGAGAUUAUUCAUUAAGCUCAAAAACAUUAUGUCAAGAAUUUACCUUUAUAUUCACUUUACUUACCCAUGCUAAUAGCUAAAAUUGUUCAGUUGUUACGGGGAAAAAACCCUUCCAUAUUCAGUAUUAAGAAAAAAAACAUUCAUCUAGCAAAGUUUUUAACAGUAAAACACCUGUCCCUCUUGCUUAAUCCUGCACAUCUUACCUCAUCUUUGCAGGUUAUAGUAGCAUGAAACUUCCAUGGUGGCGCAACCACUUUAGAAACUCUCAAGAAACUCACGCCAACACUCACUUCCUAAGUGUUUCUUAUUUUAACUCUUUUCAAGAAAUCCUCUUCACCACACCUGCGCCUGCAACUGAUCUCGCUCGAAAAAUCCUCUUUACCACACCUGCGCCUGCAACUGCUCUCACUUCAGGUAACUAGUGCACAGCUCCUCCAGCAUGACUCCAUUCAUAUUACCAUUGUAGCAGUCUUAGCAUAGACUGGCAAAUCCAUCCACACCAAGUUUACGAUUAAAGAGGAAAAUUACAGCGAAAUCUAUACAAAUUGAGUGCUAAUCUUUCUCUCAAUAUUUCCAUUACCUAGCCACCAUUUUAAAUCCUCAGUAACCCAUUUCAGUUUUCAUCUGACAAAUCUAAUAAUACUCUAAUAUCAACCUCAUCAAAAGAAUAAAGAAUUUUAUGUAUCAGACAGGUUUACCAUGUGGAAAGCCAACAUAUCUCAAAGCAAGAAAGAUAGUACAAUUUCUCAGAAAGCCACUUAACUUUGGAAUGCAAUGCAAGAAUUGGAGAUAGCAGCUAUGGUCUACCAGCUCUUACCCAUGACAAUCAGAUUUACCAAUAUUUUCUUCUUAUACAUGUACUAGAACUUCUAUAAUAUGUUUGAAAAAACAAAAAAGUAAAAUAUCUCCUUAUAAUAGACACAUUGGAUAUCAAUAGGUACCAUUUAGUGAAAAGUGAAAUGAUAUAAUCAACCGAUAUGGUCUGGCUGAAUUUGUCUCCUUCAUUAGCAAGCAUUCUUUAAACGUAUGGAAUAUCUAAAUAUUGUCUUCUGAAUGAUAGGUGAACCUCAAACAUACCUGCUUUAUAGGAAAACAGGAACAUUUUUUUUGUGAUAACUUAAAAAAACUUAGUACUCACCAAUAACACUAUUUUCAUAGGGUCAGCACUAUAUGCUUUUGUUUUUAUUAUGGGAAGUGAUCAUCAAUUGGAUAGUAAACUGUAGAAUUUAUUAAAUAAUCAUUCUAACAUGCAGUAUAACAUUAGCUAGAGGCAACACCCAUGUGAGAAGAUAAAUACCUUAGUCAGUCCCAGAAGAGCUGUCUUUGUAACGCCAUACAUGGCUAGUGCAGCUUGUGGAUGAUAUCCUGCAAUAGAUGAUAUAAGGAUGACUGAUGAUCCCUUACGCAAGUGUGAUACAGCAUCCUGCAACACAAAUCCAGGUAAAAGUUUAAAACAAUGACUGCAGAAUUAAAAAUAAAACAUUGUUAGUAUGUGACGUACCUGCAACAGAAGGAUUGCAGCCUUCACAUUUAUCUCCCAAAGUUUAUCAAGAACUGAUUCUUUCGUAUCCAAUAUGCUAUCUGCUGUUGGAUUAGCAGCAGCAUUGGAAACAACUAUAUCUAUAUGCCCAUAUUUCUGCAAUGAAAACAAUUAUAGAUUUCAUUACCAUAACAUUUAUGAGAAAUUUGAUCCAGCAUUAUCAAGCCAGAAAUAGACUUGACGAGAGAAGAAAGCCUAAUGCCUACUCACCAAAGGCCUGAAGUGCUGGUACAUAUAUCAAAUAUGCAGCACAUAUAGAUUUCAGGAUUUUCUGGAAGUGCAAACUGAAAAGAUCUAAGUGUAUGCAGAUUGCAGAACAAAAAACAGAGGUGAAAAACAUGGAAAAUAUGGAAGGCACGGACCUUUAAUCUUUCUCCACAUUUUUAGAAGGAGUCGUCCAAGGUGCUCUGUUGUGAAGUGACGAGUUCAUUUUUGGUUGGUGUUUGGAAAGAUGACUCCUCCUGAACUAUUUGUCCAUUCGUGAAACUAUGCUGAUGUCUAAGGUUUCCUAAGCACUUCUUAGGUUUCCUUUUGUUUCUUUUUUUAAGUAGAAUAUGAUGUCUAUGCACGAAUACAUCAUUUUGGGGCUUGGGAUAGCUCUAUUUACAAUUUUGAAGCAGAGUUCAUCUUGGGGGUAAGGUUUUUGAAUCCACAGCUCUCAAUCUUCAAAAAACAAGAAAGAGACUAAUGAAGUGAAGGGAUUGGAUUCUGAGGCGUAUGAUAAUUCCAGCAUUUUCUAAUUACUUGGAACAUCAAUGAAAUCAAUUGCAGCCCUUGAAUUAUGAAAAAUAUUGGAUUUCAUCAUAAAAUAAGUUUAUAUUUAUUUUAAAAUUAUUAUAUUAUGUUGCAUGGCCCUUACUUGGCCACCAGGUUAGUCCUUUUUAAUCACUUGUCCAUCAAAAUAGUUGGCCCACAAAUAAUUUAUGCUCCAAGUUAUCUUUUAUUUAUCUGGUUCCUUAGCAUCUGAGUCAAGGUAGGCUGUAAAUAUUGUGUUAUGGGAUGGCUAAGGAGGAUAGUCUAAAGUAUGUAUUGUAUGAGUUUGUGUUGUUAAGGAAGAAAGUUGUUUCUUUCCUCUUAAUCCUCUGUUGUCUUCCUCUCAUUCCCUCCUCUCUCGUCUUCUUUCUCUACUAUUUUCUACUCUCUUCUUCAAUCCGUGAGUUUUCUCAUGUGUCAAGUCCAUACACGCAUAAGCAGGCCAUCCCCCUAAGUUAUCCUACAUCAAUUUGGUAUCAAAGCAAAAAGAUCCUGCAUAUAUUCUUUCUUUUCUUUACAUUUUUGUUCUUCCCUGAUAUUUUUCAUCAUGUCAUCAAAUAGUGAACUAUGUUUCAAGCUCGAGUUUCUUCAUCAAAACAUAAGGAAGGACUCUGGGUUUAUGUGCAAUGAUUUGGUAUCAAUUUACACCAGGUUAGUAACUCUCACAAUGUUUUGGUGUUAAUGCCUGCCAGGUUGCAAGCGGUGGCAACAACUUUAGAUGUUAGACAAUGCCUUCAAGCAUGGUCAUCUUCUCUAGCUUUAAAUCAUCAAUGACCUACAAAGCAAAUUCGUGUAGUGCUGUGCAAGUCCAAGUACAUGAAGCAACUCCAAUAAAAAGUCCUGCAAUCGAAAAUCCACUGAACAAGGAUGUUGUUAUUGAAGCUAGGUCUAUCAACGAUCUUGUAAAUGGUGAACCUUCACAUCAGAAGCUUGCAAUUGAACAUACAUCAUGUCCAAAGAAUACGAUUCAGAAGCAUGCAAACAUCGAAGAAUCAGUGGCAAUUUUCAAAUAACAAAGACAUGGAUGGCAAUCUUUCAAGGAUUGUGAUCAUAUCACAACAUUUUGAAGAUCCAUUUCAUGUUGAUUUUAUGGAUUCAUAAAAGCACACCAUCAAUCAAAUGAUCAAAAAUCUUCAUGGUUGAAGAUCCAAGAGCACCAAAACAAACCGCUGAAGAUACAAUCAUAAGAAAAUUUUAUGUUGGCCUCCAUUAUCAAGUCUUGAAGAUUCAAAGGUGGACUAAAUGUCAAAGGGACAUCAAGAUCUCAAGGACGAGAUUCACACAGCAGAAGCAAAUGAUGAAGUCAAGGGCUCGGAUCGUGAGGCACAAUUUCUCUUAUGAUCAUUUGAGCCCUCAUCCAAUUGCUUGGAGCACCAAUGGAUUCAUUUGCAGCCCUUAAAUUAUAAACAGUCCGCAUUUCAUCAUAAAAUAAGUUUGUAUUUGUUUUAAAAUUAGUAGGUUACUUGGCACUUAAGCAACUUAAAUAUUAAAUUACUUGGCCACCAAGUUAGUCUUUUCUUAAUCACUUGUUCUUAAAAUACUUGGCCCACAAGUAACUUGGCCUAAAAGUUACCUUUAUUUUCUUUGGUCUCUAAGUAUCUAAGUCAAGGUAGGCUAAAAAUAUAGUGUAUGGGAUAACUAAGGAGGACAACCUUGAAUCAUGUAAUAUAUUUCUGUUGUCAUGAAAGACAGUUGUUUCUUUCCUCUGAUCCCUCUCUUGUCUUCCUCUCACUCCCACCUCUCUUUCUCUUUAUUAUCUUCUUUUCUAUACUCUUCUCUACUCUCUCUUCUCUCUAUCUAGGAUUUUUCCUUGUGCAUUAGGCCCAUGUACGCAUAAGCAGGCUAUGUCCCUGAGUUGUCCUGCAUUGGAGAGAAUCUGGACCAAGCUUAAGUUGUUUGUUCCUGCAACCAAAACCUCCUAUACCUCCACAGAAGACUAGAAAGUUUUACUGCAGCAUUAUGAAAUAUGGAGGAACCACUUCAUACAGUAAGUUAAUUUUCCAUAAAUCUUGUAUGAUAUCUAUAUCCAUAUUAUUCAUACUGGUCUUAUUAUUUCAGAAUGCCAUGCUUAUGCAUGAAUAAGAUUGCUAAGCUAUGCUCAAUGCACAAGACCCUCAUGAGUUUGAAGUGAGAGGUAGCACUACUUGCAGUCAACAACAAUAAUAGGUUGACUCAUCAAGUUGACCCAUUACUCGAUCAAGACAUUUCGACUCAGCUACCUAGUGGACUGACUCAGUGUGCGAAACAGAUCUGGGCAUAAAUAGCAAGAAUUUUGAAUGAUUCAGUCAAAUCUGCCACUUCACAAGUCACUUUCCACUGAACUAGUUUACUUAGCUCUUAAUGUCAGUUUUCACAAGUUCAAAUAAGCUCCAUGACCUGGCAACAUCACAAUUUGUUCAUGGGUCACUCAGUACUAGAACAACGCACUGCAUUGUUCUUACAAAAUCUUGUGCCUCUCUUUAAAGAAAAUUUAGAGAAAGAUAGAAACAAGUAGGGUACAUUGUCAAAACUAGGGGUGCCAUAAUUAAUGAUUUAAUGAUAUGCAAGGCCAGAAAACUGUAGAACCGAAAGCAACAUGCUGGAACGAGAAAUCCUGACUUUCCCUCUGUAUUAUUCUUGAAUCUCAACUGCACCAUCAUUUUUAAAACAACUUUUCAAGUAAUACAAGAGGAACAUUUUACACCAUCAACUGAUGAUUCUAUUCCUUCAUCAAAACUAUUAGGUAAUUUAGGCUUGUUUUCCCAGCUUAAGUUUCAAAGUUCCCAAUAUUUCAAUCAAUAUUUAUGUUAUCCCCAAUUUCUUUAGAGCCAAGUCAGAGUAACAGAUCUGUUGCAGAUUUGAUUGCUAUCCAGUCCGGAUGCAAUUGACUUGUCAAAGAUUUACUCCAUACAUCUUGACUUGCAUGCUUUUGUGGCCAAAAUAUUUUGCACUCAUUUCUCUUAGAUGUUCCUUACACACACACACACAAUAUAUAUAUACACACACGUACAUAUACACAUAUAUAUAUACACACAUACAUAUACACACACAUAUAUAUAUAUAUACACGUACAUAUACACAUAUACAUAUAUAUAUAUAUACACGACAUAGAUAUAUAUUCAAAAUUUCAAAUAGGAUGUGAACAAAAUCACGACUUAACCAUUUGAUUAGGUCGGCCCACAUGAUUCAAGAAAUUUGGACAAUCUGAGUUGAGCCGGAGACAUGGGUUUUCCAAGACUAAUACUUCAAAAUCCAAUAAAAAUCCUUUCCUAAUAUGCUGAACUCAAAUAUUCCAUCCCAAAUCGAUAUAAUCAGCAACUACACUGGAUGAGAGUGCAGAUCGAACCAUGUAAAAAAGCAUGACUAUUAACAACUCCAAAUAGGCAAGAACCAAGCGAAGCAUUAACUAUGACCAAUACCCCAACAUAAAAAAUUACCCUAAUUUGCAAUCCAAGAAACAUAAACCCUCACAAAACUUCACACCUUUAGAUCAAUUAUACAAAAAGGUCACAACUUUGAGGGGAAAAGAUCCAUUUUCUUGCGAAUUAACCAAAAGCAAAGGAUCUGUCACCUGAACGGUCUUGUCGAUGAGGUCCUUUCUUUGCCGGGGAUUUGAGACAUGGCAGACGACCCCGGUCACCUCAAUUCCCUUCGACCGGAGUUUCUCGACCGCCUCAUCCACGUUCUUCUGCUAGCCCACAACAAGAACCACAGAUAGAUAAGAAAGAUAAUUAGCCGAAUAUGGAACAAAUCGCCACAACUUAUACGAAAAAAGAAGAAGAGAGGAGACGAGAGAAGUGACCUGCUUUCGAGAGGAGACGACGACGGAAGCGCCCUCGAGGCCGAAGCGCUCGGCGAUGGCGAAGCCGAUCCCCUGGGUCGAGGCUGUCACGAUCGCCACCUUGCCCUCCAGUCUCCUCGCUUUCACCUCCAUCUCUCUCGCGCGCGCGCGGCCGGGAAGGAGAGGGACGAAGGACGAUCCGUAGCCCAGGAGUUGUGCUGCUCCGGCCCGACUCCUAACUCCUUAAAAAGUAGAUUCUAGCCGUCGGAUCUAUGCUAUGAUCCCGCGGUCUGUGCAUCGCUUGCUCCGCCCGUUCUUGGAUCGUGGCACUUGGGCUUUGGUAUUUGGAUAUUCCCAGCCGAGAGACCGAAGUGGGCCAAAUCAUCCGGCCCACAACGUUCGGAACUCUUUCCCCGAAAAUUAGGUGAUUAACAUUAAGAUAAUUAGUUAUAAAAUUCUUGUUUAAGAGUGAUCUCAGAUAUUUGUGGAUUUCUUGGUGCAGUGAAAAGUUUUGAAUGACUUCAGUAGGUUGGUGUAAAUCCCAACUUCUGUUCAAACAAAGUCAGAUCCAAACCCGAAAACCGCCUAAAAUAUUAGGGUUAGGAUUUGCUAAACUUUGAUUCCUUUAUAGGGACUAGAUAUAAUGCACACGCCGAUUCGCAUAGGGCUACCACUAAAGAUUUAGAACAUAUAUCGAAGACUUUAACUUGGAAUAAAUACAAAUAUAUCUUUCUUAUAAGAUUAUUGAAAUUUAGUUAGUUUAUUAUAUUUUUAAUCUAGAUAAGUUUCAUUAUAGCUAUUAAUUCAUGAUUUUGGACAUGGAAAUCUUAUCAUGCAUAUAGUUCACUAAACCUUUGGAUAUUGAACUCAUCAAAGUCCAACAAUGUUGAAAACCUUUUUUUUUUAAUAGAGUUUUGGCAUGGUUUAAACAUCCGAGAGAGACAUAACUAACAAGAAUCAUUAGAAACUGAAAAAUUACAAAAUUCAGCAACUUUUGUAUAUUGUGUAAAAAUUCAGUAAUAUGACAUAGAGCUUGAAAACGACAAACGGGGAAUCUUUCCCACCUGUAAAAAUGUUACCGUUAGGAGUCCUCGGCAUUUAGCAUAAAAGUGGACAAUUUCACCAACAAAGAAUUGGUGAUCUUAUUAUACUCCAAUAUAACACCUCUGGAGAGUCACAUAUUGGCAGAUCGAUUACAACUCCAUACAGGUAACAAAAAAGAAGAUCACCAAAAUAUACCUUACAUUCCUCAGCAUUUACCACGUAUGGAACAAAAAGGAUUUUACCCAGAGAUUUUUACAAAUAUUGAUCAUCCCUAAAAAUCAUCUUUUGCCGCACGGACCUGUUGUUUUUUUUACCACCAACUUCUGAACAAUUCCCUGAAAAUUUGAAAUUGAAAAGCGAAUCAGUUCCAAAAAAAUAAAUGGCUCAUGUAGCCCAUGGAUUAUCAUCGUCCAUAAAAAAUACUUCCAUGCCAUAAAAAAUAAUUGGUGUUGCUCUAACGGCGUUUAAAUCAGAAGGUGUCACAAAGGAUUGCAAGGGAGUCACAAUUGAGGGCUCGUUUGGUUCGUGGAAAGCAUUUUUUCUUCUAAAAAUAUGAUUCCUGAAAAGCAGAUUUUUAGAAAGAGAAUGCCUGGAAAAGUACUUUUGGUAUGUUUGGUUGACCAUUAGAAAGUGACAGAUUUAUAGAGUACUUAUAUUUGGUUGACCAUCAACUUUUCUGAAAAAGUUAUGUAUAAUUCCUAUUAUACUCUUAAUAAAAAUUAGGUCUUUAAUGUCUCUUUAAUGCUGAAGGGCUUUUUUAAGAAAAAUAAAAAACUAGAUGAUUCCCGGCUCAUGGAAAAGUAACUUUUCCAUGUUGAUGGGAAAGACUUUUCCAUGAAAUGUGAGAAUCAUAUUUCCAUGGGAAUACAACUUUUCUAUCUCUCUUUUUUGAAAACUCCAAUCAAACAAGAGGUAUAUCAUUACUUUCCCAUUGANNNNNNNNNNNNNNNNNNNNNNNNNNNNNNNNNNNNNNNNNNNNNNNNNNNNNNNNNNNNNNNNNNNNNNNNNNNNNNNNNNNNNNNNNNNNNNNNNNNNNNNNNNNNNNNNNNNNNNNNNNNNNNNNNNNNNNNNNNNNNNNNNNNNNNNNNNNNNNNNNNNNNNNNNNNNNNNNNNNNNNNNNNNNNNNNNNNNNNNNNNNNNNNNNNNNNNNNNNNNNNNNNNNNNNNNNNNNNNNNNNNNNNNNNNNNNNNNNNNNNNNNNNNNNNNNNNNNNNNNNNNNNNNNNNNNNNNNNNNNNNNNNNNNNNNNNNNNNNNNNNNNNNNNNNNNNNNNNNNNNNNNNNNNNNNNNNNNNNNNNNNNNNNNNNNNNNNNNNNNNNNNNNNNNNNNNNNNNNNNNNNNNNNNNNNNNNNNNNNNNNNNNNNNNNNNNNNNNNNNNNNNNNNNNGGUAGUAUAAAUUGCCACCCCUUCAUCACUCGCAAGGCCAUUUAUCCUUGUAGAGAAAGGCAUGGAGCUCCACCGAGGGAACACAGAGAGCUAUGUUCCAAACAAAAACUCAAGAGCCUUGUUUGAGCUAGUCUCGAAAUGCCGCUUACCAAGGCUAGUUCAAAUGUUGCUCUACGGCGUCAUAUGUGCAGUAUGUAAUUCAAGGACCAAAAUGUAGUUCAAACUAGAACUUCUAGCUAAUUUUGUUUAAGUUUCAUCCCAUCUGCUGAGAUUAGUUCAAAUGUUUCUCUCUUUCAACUAAUCGCAUCGCUUAAUAUUAAGAGGAACCAAGCACCCCUUCCUUGUUUUGACUGAACUUGAACACGCUACCAUUAGUAUUUAAUUUUUAGUCCUACACAUAUUUAUAUGAGAUUUACACAUGCCUGCAUUUAUAUUGCACACACAAAUAAUAACUCUUGUAUACAAUUAUAUUGCCCAUGCAUACAGUUAUACUAUCCCUGUAUACACUUGUACAUGCGUGCGCAGAGUUAUCUAUAACUGUGUAUAUAUUGGGAUAUAAUUAUAUACAAUUGCUAGGGACUUAAAACUAAAGAAAAUUUGAAACUUGAGAUGGAUGUUAAAGUCCCCGACAGCAGGUAUUAAAAGUUGCAGUCCGGUCAAAGGUGAGACUCAAAAUAUAAAUUAAGAGGUCUUAAAGUGUAAAGCUAGUAAAGAAUAAGAACUUCAAAUUGAUUUGGCUUAAGUUGCAUAAAAUUUAGCUCCAGCAAUUGAAGACUAGCUCAGAGAGUUGCUUUGGGAAGGAUAUGUAAGAAAAUAUAAAAUAUAUAAAUUAAUUUAUCUCAUCCUAUCAGCUUAAGAUUUUGGGACGAGUGGUGAUUUCAAUACUUCGGGGGAAUCUGCGGGCCUAGCCGCAGAACAUGCCAGAAACAAGAGCUUUUUAUCAAUAUAUGUGGUGAGUAAUGUUUGAACUGCUCUCGGAACGCCGCAUGUUGCCCACGCGAAGGUUACAGUAAAGUUUCAUGUCCCGGCUCUUUGUUAUUGGAGACUUUUAUUACAAAAAAACUUUAAUCCUUUAUCCCAGUUUCUUCUUACUCAAGUGGAUGCUAUCCUCUUGUUUGAUAAUGAUUUCAAAUCAAAGUAUAUGCUCACUGUAGCAAACAAUCUCUCUCUCUCUCUUUUUUUUUUUGAUGUAAAUGGUGGCAAAAUGCCUUUUGAUGUAAAGGGUACAGUCUGAAACUCGGAUGAGAAGCUUGUAAGAAAAUAUUCAUCAAACAUUCUUGCAGUUGAUGAUCAUUCUGCAGCGGUAGGAAAUAAGCAGCAACACAUCUGCAGAAGGAUGACAGGGAUGAGGUGAAGAGUGGUAGAGGAAACCGAACCAAAUGGACCACGUCAUGUAAUUGGAAAUUUUAGGUACUAUGCUCAUUGUAAUUUGCUUGUCUUGGUUAAUAUUCUCCUAUAUUCUGUAUUAUAGAAUUAUUUGGAACUAAAUUCAGAUACCUUCGAUUUUGAGGAAGCGUGACUGGAGUUAUGCUGCCUUUCUGGAUACGUCAUUGUCUUGGCUGGAAGUGUUGGCAAAUUAGUUGCAGCUAUCUGCUUCUCUUCUUUAACUUUGUUAAAUAUGACUGUAAAACUCUCAGCUGAUUUGGGAUCUGUCUCAUCCCAAGAACCAAAUCUCGGCACCGACGGGGCUCUGCGUUGUGGCUGUGCCAAUGGAGUGCAAUAAAGUCAGCUAAAAGACUCGAGCAGCAUAUAAAUUGUAUGUGUAGUCUGAAACAUCAUGUUUAUCAAUUUCACCAUUUUAUGCCUUUCAGAAAUUCAUAAUUUUCUCCUCCUUUCAAAAUAUUCCCAAGUUGCAGCAACAAAGUCACUAAACAUUAGAAAUGACACACAGCAAAUACUUACAGCUUUGCCCUCUAGAGAGUUUCCUGCUUCUGGUAUAGCUUCAUGCAGUGGUAAUGGUGAAAAGCCAUGACUACCUUCAGCUGAGUCCUUAUCUGUCCUGCGACGAUGUCGAGGUUGCAGAAGUGAGUUAUCGGAAUUGUUCUUAUCACUGCUAGGCACUGAGAGACGGCUCCCACGGUUCCUGCUUCUCUGUGGACCCAUAUUGACUCUCUGGAAAGUAGAUCUAUGAGGCAGUGGAGCUUCCAUGUAUCUCUGAAAUUCACCAUCUUCCCUGCUGUUAUGUUUCCUGUGAUGUUGUUUCACCACAUGAUAACCAGUAGAUGUAUCAUUGUGGUGUUUUUGGCAACGUUUGUGAUCUCGAGCAAAUGUCCCGGGAUGGUAAGCUUGUGGAUUUUCUUCAGGAUCAUUUGGGUUAAGAAUCUUUGAUCCAGCGCCUUUGUCUCUGCGCACCAUCUCAAAAUAUGUAGUAUAUGGAAUAUUUUCGCCAUCCCAAUUUCCAAACUUUGGUGCAUGAGCAAGUUGCUGUAACUUGUGAUACAAACAAUAUAUAAGAAUGGCUAGCUAGCCAUUUUAAGCUUUGAAAAGUCCUUAGCUUCUUAUAAAAUAGAAAUAAAAAGGUCCUUAGCUACACUAGAUCAGGGAAGGGGAGAGGAGGAAAAAAUCCUACUGAUGCAGAAUUAUUGGAUGAGGACCAUCGAAUAUUUAACAAUCAUCGGCCACCAUGAAAGGAAUUUUUAUCAUGAGACAUUUUGUCCUAAUUUUGCACGACAUAAAAUAUGCAGUGGUGCAGUAGAUGUACUGACAGAAAUCUCAAUUAACUGAGGUUGCAAGGGCAAACUUCAAUAUUAAUAAAUGGAACCAAAUGUUCGAAUCAUGUAACUGCUAAACUGUAAUUACUUUACUAGAAGUUUCAAUGUGGCGCAUAAUAACCUUUUGAAUAUUAAUAGUACAAAAGGUGAGCAAUCAAAAUAGAGAUCAUGUGGACAUUAGUAAAACAAUGGAACUAAGAAACUAAAUUUCUCUGGGCACGAAUUUCUGAAAAAGCUUCUUUGGGCAGGCACUGGCUAACUGAGACAGCUUUGAUAUUCCUAUGGCAUAUCCUGACCAAGCCCCAAUUGAUUGUUAAUUCCAAAGGGGACUAAAUUUUUCACAUUUCAUUUUUGGUUUCUAGGAAUUUUGAAGAAUGAAGAUGAUGAACUGUUUGGACUAUCAAUUUGGAUGGCCACCAUUCAUUUCACUAUUUCAGAGACCUGCAAUAUGGCUAAAACAAAAUACUGGUAAACUUAAUAGGAAAUACCAUUGCUCUCACCUUACAAGAACUGUUAACAUCAACAUCUGUUUAAUAAGCCAUUAAAUGGUUGCAACAAAAAAGUAGCACUACUGCUUUCCUUUUCCUCCCAGAGAUCUCUCUAGAUGAGUCAAUAUCUGCUUCUAAAUAUCUUCCACAAUAUAAUGCAUCUCUUAUAAAUCUUCGCAUCUUUUGUAGCCUUCUUUCUUGACAUCCUUUUAAACAUACUAAUUUACAUCGAAUGUACAUUAAGAAAAUGGUAAUGUACAUGAUAACCAUGUUCAGGGACUGUACAGAUAGCACUCGCUAGGAUGCCCUCCAGCUACAUCUGAUGGGUUAGUUUUCACUUUAUUUGUGUGCACUCCUCUCUCCAAAGUACUGGACCCACCAUUUGUCUUGUUGGAGGGAGGCUAAUAUGCAAUCCUAAUCAGCAAUCUAGACAAUCAAAUCUUGCCAUGGCAUUCAUGUAGUUAGAUAUCUGAAUUUUCAGAAGCUUGCUACUUGAGAAUGACUGUUCAGCUUCCACAUACAUUAUUGUCCUAGAUAGACAAAUAUUCCAGCUCAGAAAACUUUAUUCGAUCCAAUGUACUUUCAGUCCACAAAACCCCAGCUGAAAUACUCAAAAUUUUCAACCUGUAGUCUUCUUCAGAUGUGUACUUUUCUUCGCAGUGGAUUCAGAACACCUGAACAUAUCCUACAAAUUGUUUAUUUACUUUACCGACCUGAUACAUAUGGUCUGAGUAAAAGUCCUUUUGAAGCAGUAUGAUCUUGAAUUUCUAUGGACUAAAAUUCAGGCAAUCAGGUUACAGGGUUUCCUGAAUGUCACCCAGAUAACUUCAGCACAUAACUUCGGUGGGUGUUAGCAGGCCAAACUAAAUAGCAGAUAACUUCAGCAACCGUGCACCAAUUUUAAGACAUACAGCUAACCUAAAUGCACAUCACAAUGAGUCGCCUAAUUGGUAAAGACAUCAAAAAAUUAUCUGAAUAUUUAAAUUAAGGUCCUCUUUCUAAUCCUUAUUUGUGCAAAUAUAUGUUGAAAAUAGCUAGGUUCGUUUUGGAAAGUAUCAACUAAUAUAGAAUUCAAUCUCUCACUAGGUUUCUUUCCAAAGUUAGCAACAAAAUGGCACCAUUAAAUAAAUCUUUGGCUUCUCAACAUUUACUUUCUUCAAAUGACUGACCGCAAAAAUCUCCGUAUUGCAAGCAAAUAGCCCCGAUCUUGUAGCUUUGCCAUUCCACCUUAGUAUGUUCUUCAAGCAGAACUUAUGGAGGUCAGGUUCAAAUCUAUAUAAAUCUAAUCAUAAGCACCACGAUCGGCCCGUGAUCAGUCCUAAUGGAUCCGUGCUGUAGUGCUCCCUAGUCCACAUAGGUUACGGAUCGGAUCCGCUCUGAUACCAUUCGUAACAACCCAUUACCUCACUCCAAAAAGGCUAACCGAAAGGUAUUAUUUGAGUCUUUGAUCCUGUAUAAGUACCCAAGAUCUACCUAGCGAAUAAACGAUGUGGGACUAAAUACACGCUAGCUCGCACGGGUCUUCAUAGUAAUACCAAUUAUUUAAUUAAACACUUACACUAACUCCUUAUUUGCAGUCAUUUAUAGAUAGGUCUCUAUCUCCUUUCCCUGACACUCCACCAUGAUUGGAGCUCCUCUCCUUGCACAACCAUGUCUCAAACCUUUGUUGCAUGUCUCACUACCAUCUACACGUUGGUGGUUCUCCAACAGUUUGCUGUUAAAUAAUAUAACUUGUAUGCCUCCUUGGAUAUACUCCUUCCAGAUUUACUCUUCAACGGAUUCUUAAAUUGCUGGAUAUAUAUUUGCUUUAAAAUGAAAAAGUACAAAGCGAAAGAGAAAAAACACUUAUCGAACACUUAGUUUGGAACCAUUUAGCCUCUUUUUUUUUGCAUAUGUUCUUCUUCUCUCUUGACAAUGUAAUUCAUCAUUGUUAUAAAUAUGAUUAAUCUUCAAUAAAAGCUGGGUGGCUCCUGUCUGCCUCCCCUUUACAUCAAAAAAAAAAAGGAAAGAGAAAAAACACUAAGUAUAAGGAAGGGUUGGUUUUUUGACUUAUGAUGUCCACCAAUACUUCGUAGCAUAAACUAACCAGAAACUUGUUGUUCCUUUCUUUCCCAUUUUAUUUUAAGAGAAUGAAAGAAAGCCUUCCAUAUGCCAAAUGUACAAGGGCUUCUCUAUUCUCCCUGUUCAUUGUUGCGCAAGUGAAAGCCCAAUAGUCCAUUUGCUAUUUUGGCUUCUUUGAUGCUUCUCCCAUUUGAUUAAUUUCUCAGUUCAGAUCCUCACAAUGAAAAACAAAACAAACAAAAAUGGCUGACAGCUAAAACAGCCUAUAUUCCUUCUUGAAGCCUCAUGAACUUUAUGCCUUUUGAGAACUAAUAUGGUGAGAAACCAUGCCACUACAGAAGGAAUGGGGGCAAAGGGGGAGUCCUCUACAAAAUUUUAUCGAUUACUUUAUAAUUUUUUUGUGUUUAUUUUCUUUCAUAGCUCCCUUUCAGGUGCCUAUUAUUUAUGGAUGACUAUCUUUGCUUGGAUAUUAUUGAUGGGAGGAAUUGCUAAAAGGCCGCAACUUUGGCAACCUAGCUUAACCUCUAAAUCCAUCAACCCUAACCCAACCCAACUAGGUCUCAAGUUGAGAUUUUUCUAUCCAAAUUCAACCCAACCCCAUUAUAAGCCAAAUUCGGGUUGGGUGGAUUAGCGGGUCUGGCCAGGUUAGUUGGGUUGUGCCAUGUUAAUUGGGUUUGGUUGAACUAAGUAGAAGUUUUACCGUAGAGAAAAAGUUAGAGACAUUUCUUAGGAAUUAAUAUUUAUUAAACAGAGAUCUCGGUCAUUCACAAAUUUCAAUGACGCACUUAUAUAUUAAUUUUAACAUGAUUAAAGAAUGGCACAUCUUUCAAAGAAUUAUGGAUGGUACAUCUUUUAACUAAGUUGUGUGUAUAUCAACAUAUUUGAGAGGGCGAAAUCUUUCUGUAGCUUCAUUACUAAUUCUAGAUAAACAGAACACCCUUAGUCUACUCUAGGUAUGUACCUAGGACCAGAAUAUAACCAACAGUUCUAUUAUUAAUAUAAACUGAGAAGAAGUGGGAAAGGGAGCAACAAUUAGCUUUAGGCCCUUCAGGUUUGACAAGGCACAAGGGACAGAAGGGAGGCUAAAAGCAUGGCUCAAAAAAGAACCUUGUCAAUUGAGUGUUUAUUCUUCUUAGUCUAGCAACUAUAAUUUGUGUACCCUCUGGUGAAUAUAAUCAUCUAGAAGGGGGAAUUUCUGAUAGGGAUUGUAUCACAGAGUUGCAAUAUUUGUAGCUGUGCCGGACAUUGAUAUGUAGGUUUUCAUUUUUUUCCAAAACAAAUAGUUUGGAAACUUUUCAACUGAUUAAGAUUUCACCCAUAAAUUUCUUUUUACCUUAUUGUAAUUCAUGAUUUUUUUUUCUGAAUUUACAUGUUAGAGUACAGAAGAUUGGAUGGCAUCCUUUUUUAAAUCAUACAAGAUACAGUGACAAGAAAAUUUAAAUAAAAAAUGCCUCGAAGCUUUGAAAAUACAGAUAAUUAAGUAUCAUAGUUGUGCUAUUGGCUGUAAGCUUCGCUGCUGUCAUAAAGCUACAUCCUUAUCUGGUUAGCAAAAGAUCGAGCAUAGCAAACUACAUUAAAAUUAUUACUAACCAAGAAGCAUCCAACACACCACAGAGCUCGCCUAAAAGUUUCAAAAACAUAAUGCUAGAUUAAGCAGCAAAAUAUGCAAGCUGAGACUUGCUGUAGUAAUGGUUUGAAUUAAUAGGAUUAUGACUAAGUUCCAGAUUGUAUGGAAGUGCUGUAUGUUAAUGAUCAAUCUGAUGCUACGUAUUUCCUAUGUUUCAAAGGAAGCUCUAUCACCCCGAAACACACACAAAUAACAGCAGACUUACUUGCCCCAAACCACGACUUCCGUGCGUCAAUGUCUCAAACAAGAAACACGGUUAUCCUUUUUACACAUAAAUACAUCACAAAGCAUAAUACCACGAAAACCCAAUCAAAAUUCCAUAUCAAAAUCACUUCGCCAAUUCAUAAAUAAGAAAACACCCAAGAUGAGUGAAAACAGCCGAACCUAAAGAGUAAAACUUUCUUCAUAAGAAUAAAGAUGCCAUCAAGAUUAAACAGAUCGAUCACACAACAAAGCAAGAUAGAAAAAAGAGCAGUGGAGACAGAAGCCAAAGAGAAGUUCUACUCACGGUCAUGGUGAUCCAAAAGAGCAAGUGCUUCUACAGCGCAAAACCAGAAAGAUUGAAGGAGUCAGCAGUAGCUGGUUUUGAGCCUUCUGAACACAGAGUCUCAUUAGAUAAUUUUAAUGUUUAUUAGAGGAAGGCGUGACGUGGAAGAGCCAACCAACACGGCACCAACCAACACCGUCCCCCACGGCAACGCAUAUCCUUCUACACGUUCUCCCUCAGUAAGUCAAGUAUCCUCUCGUUCUUUCCCUUUGUCUUCUUGUCAGUACCUUGUUAUCACUUUCCUAAAAAAAAAAAACUUAGUUAUCAUUAUCUUGCAUUUCAUAAUGCAUGGGACCAGACCGGAAUAACUUAUUCGCUUCCUCUCCCACAGCCAUCAUCAGGUGAUAUCUUGGAUUUGACUUUAACAUGCACACGAGGCUUGGUAAUCAAUGGUUAGACACUUAAUUAGUCGUAUUAUCUUGUUCCGGGAGACGGGGUUGCUUGGGGUUGAGCAUCUCUUGAUGAGUGUGCGGAUCAUUGGUGGAAAGAUAUNNNNNNNNNNNNNNNNNCUAGGCUGUAGUUGUCAUCGGGACUUGAUGUUUUAACUUGGAGAUUUUGUUUGCUUGUGGAUCUCUGGUCUUCUUUUUAGUGAUCAAUUAUCUCCAAAUUCCAGAAAAUGACUCCAAUGUCGCUUGCCAAACCUUCCGAAAUACUAAUUGCUAUUGAGAAAGUGAUUAAAAUUAUCUUUUCAAGGUCAUGCUCCUUCAUAAUUUUAGUGAGAAACAAGUUGAUGGUGCUUCCCCUCUUGUGCUGAUACCGGAGAUUUAAGUAGCAAUUCUUAAAGUGGCAGCUAACUUGCUAGUAAAUUCUUCCAGGAAGAGGGCCCGGGCCAGGGCCAGGGCCAAGCAGGAAAAGGCCGAGAUUAUUUGGGAGGCUUCCUCUAUUUAUUAAAAGUAAAAAAAAAAAGUGGGAAGCCGAAGAAUAAGUAGCAAGUUGUAUAGCUCCAAUUGUAGAUGAAACCAACCUAAUUGUCUUUAAUGUUAGAUGAUAUAAUCUCUAGUAUCCAAAGCUACAAGCUUUGAAGGACCUUGCAUUACAUACUCAAGUGGAUGCCAAAAUGGUUUGUCCGAGGGAAAAUAUGGGCGAGUAGAACCUUUAUGAGAAAAAUUUAUUGCAAUUAGGAAAGUCUUACAAGGCUCGGAGUAUGCAAUCCCUGAAAUGAAAUAUACAAAUAUUGGAUCCCUUUCCUCUAUCCCUUUUCUUUUAGGAUAGUGUGUUCUAAAUUUUCCUAGACUAGAUUAAUCUUUUUUUUUACACCAUUAACUUUCCACUGGAAAGGAAUGCUGCAUUCUAUUGCCACUUAGAACCAGUCCGACCUAGAUGUCGAGUUGGUGGUGGUUGUUAGAGUUUCCAACUCGUCUACCAUCUAGAUUGGAGAGGUCGGAUAGAAUCUCUAAAUACCUCUACGACGAUGUCUUGGUGGAGUUGAAUGGUGGAAGAACGGUUUUCGACGAUGCUGCGACAUUGGCUCCGACUUAAAACAACAAAAAAUAAGGGAUUCUAUCCACUAGAGUAUGUCCAGUGAGGAACUCUCCGAUGCCUAAGUCAGACACGACUCUCAAAAAAUUGGAGAAUGACUAAGAGGAGUGGGGAGACAGUGCAAGAGAGUUAAAAAGAGAACUUAUCUGGAGAGCCUCUAAGAACGCAAUUUAUAGGCGAGGACCGAAACCCAUCGCCGAGUAAUUUGAGGAAGAUAUGCUGGUUGAUAAGGCACCAAAUCAUGUAUCUCGUCUAUAAAUCUUUCUCACAUUCUCGAUAGUAGGAUUUGCUCGAUACAUCGUUUAAGAAACAACUAGCUAUACAGUUAUGAAGAAAGUUUGAGAUCCACGACACUUUCUGCACACCUUUUGGGUGUGACACAUGGCAAGCUUGAAUAGUGAGUGCACGACUAGGUGCGGAACUUUCAUUAGUUAGUUUGCUAUAGUCGGAUAGGUCGGUUCCGAGAUGUAUCAAAUUUCAUUCGUCUAUUCCUCGAGGGCCGGUUUGGAUGCUUAUCUUAAAACAACAUAAGGGGAGGAAAAACCAUCAAUAAUUAGUAUACCGCAUCCUCCCUUCCGGAAAUUAUGGAAAUAAAUCAUUCCUCCUCGGAGGUGAUUUAUUUUAUUUUAUUCACAAAGUUCAGGAGUUAGGUAAUGUUUGCCUUUCCAAAUUCAUUAAACCUCUCCUCUCUUCUCCCGACCUCACACGCCUCCUCAACCUCUCUACCAUCUUCCCGCUUUUAGUCGGACGUCAAGUUAUCCGAUGACAGUUUCAAAUUGGCCCUAAAUGAUUAUAAUAUACUCAAAAACAUCCUGGCAAAGCAUUGCCAUACAUGAACAUCUAUAAAAUAUCAAGCCAGAGCUAGACUUGCUCCCAGCUGAUGAUAUCGAUUCUUUUUAUUUUGGUAGAAAUGUUAUGUGGUGUCUUUAUGGUAGAUCUAGAUAAAAGGGGAUAUUUCCUAACAAUUUUUUGAGCAACAACGAAUAAAAAGAUAAUGAGACAUAAUUAAAAAGUCUCUUGAAAAGAAUGUUAUGUGGUCCAUCCUAUCUUGCUGGUUGUUGGUGGUUGGUUACUUAGCUUUUUAAAGAUCAAUUCCCUUAAUUUCAUAAGGUUCUCCUUUGCUUUUUUUUUCUUAAAUUGAUUCAGAACACUGCUGUGAUAUUUUUCAUUUUUUUAUCACUAAUAAUAUUAUUAUCAUCAUCAGAUUUUCUUUUUUUUUUACUAAAACGAAUGAUUCAUACAAUAAAAUCAAAAAAUAAUAAAUUUCAAAGCUCAACGUCAGUUUUUUUUUAAUAAGAAAUUAAGAACCGGCGGUAUAUAUCAUUUUCAUUAAAAUGGCAACAGUAUUCUAGUUGGGAGAUGAGCGGCAAUAAAAUCUACCCCUGCAGUAGUAAUGUAAUUGGGUUUCGCCCUUCCAUCAUCAGAAGGCAAAAAAGGUAAUAAUUCAUCUAGCCCAACGGCUCCAUCAAUUAACCAUAACUUAAUUCGGCGACCCAACGGUUCCACACGUCAACACCACGGCGGCCAACGCGAGCCUGCAACCUAGCGUCCAAAUUUGACGCAUGGGCGAAUUAAAAGCCGACGCCAACCUCCUUGACCCCAACUCCUAUAUGUACGGGAGCCCUCCUCCCAAGUCCCAUCAUCAAGAAGCAGCGGCGGAAUAGAGCGAAGGAGAAGAAGCCGAUGGCCAGCAGCAGCGCGAGGUGCACCUUAUGGGCCGUGGCGGCGGUGCUGGUGGUGUCGACGGCGGCGGCGGCGGCGGCGGCGAAGGUGUCGUGUGGGGACGCAGUGAAUGCGCUGAUCCCUUGCGGGUCGUACCUGGUUGGUUCGGGCCAGGCGGAACCGAGCCCGAGAUGCUGCAAGAGCGCAGGGGAGCUCAGCCGGAUGGCGAGCACCGUGGCGGAGCGCCGCGCGCUGUGCCAGUGCUUCAAGCAGACGGGGCCAUCCUUCGGGGUGAAGCCCGAGCGAGCGAACCACCUCCUCACGGCCUGCAACCUCAGCCUCACCAUCCCCCUCAACCCCAACAUGGACUGCAGCCGGUCGGUCAUUCCCUUUCCAUCUUCCAGUAUCCAAAUACUACUGUUACCUCCACGCAUGGUGCCACGGUCUUCAUGCUUUUGGUUACACUAUGAGAUAUAUGAUGUGUUAUUUUUGUUACUCACUUUGGUUUGUUUUCCUCUUUGUGUCUGUGGGCUUGCAGGAUUUCAUAAAUGGUGGAGUAUAUUAGAGAGCUACGUUCGGAGGAGCAUUCCUGGGAUAUAUGCAGGAGAAGUAGGAUAUAUUAUUAUAGCUACGUUCAGUGGGAUGCAGUUGCUAUCAGGGUGUUUCUGUUGUUGUGAAGUCCUUUGGACCUCUGGGCUUAAUUUGAUGUUGAAUAUAAAGUUAAUGUGAAGGGUGUAACAGGUAUAUGUACGUAGAAUAAUUAAUGGAGUUUGUAGUAUAGAGUGCUUAAUUAGUAACUACUUUUAUUGGAUGCCACUUAUCUUCUCAUGAUCUGGAUUGAGAGUGAAAAUAGUAGAACAAGAAACGUAUAAGUUCGCUUGUCUGAUUCUCAAUUUCAUUUUUGCCAAGAUCUCUAAUUAAUUAACAAGACGUUUCAUGAGAUUUGGUGAACUUAAAUAAUUUGAUCUAUUUUCUCGAGGAUGUGAUGUAGUACUCAGAGCACACUUUGGAUUCAUGCAGCCUUCUCAGCCUACUCUUACAUCCUCAAAAUAAAUGUUUCGUGACGUGGAUCGAUGCUUGAUUCCUGGUGUAAUAAUUUGGCAUAAUAACAUCUUAAUUAAUUUCUCAUUUCCAAUACGUUGUCCAUUAGUUUCCCAGCAUUCGGGUAAUUCCUAGUUGUUGCCAAAAUUACAGUGUCCACAAUUAUGCUUAUAAAUUAUUGGAAGCUAUUAUCGUCAUUUUGGGCCAGAUCCAGGCCGGGUUGAGUUGAGCCCUCCUAUACGAUCAUGAUGCCAACAUUGGGGCUAGGCUUCAUCUGGCCCAUGGAAAAAAUAUUAACAAAUUCAUCAGUGGGCUAGAGUCUGAUAAAAAAAAUUCCCUAUACUAUGGAGCCCAUUCUCCACCUUGGGAGUAAGUACAUUGUUGUGAUUUCUUUAUAAGACAAACUAGUUAAUAAUUGGUUAAGAGAACAAAUGAAAGGAGGCUCGUUGUGCUUUAGUUAAUUUAGAAUCCGUGACAGGCAAAGCUUGCUGUCAUUUAAUGGGCUUUGAGACGAUCUUGUACCGUCGGAGGCCUUGCCACUUCAGCAGCCAUAGCUGCCAAGCGAUAUUGCCUGCCAACUGGGGUUAGAAAGACAAAAUUGUAUUCCUCCAUCCUUUCGAGUGCUCACCAGGUAAUCCAUAUAAUGGAAUAUUUAGAUUUGGAUGCCAUUUAUUUUAAUCCACUAUAAUAUUAUGGAAAACUAUCUCAUAUGUUUUGGCCAAGGAAACAACUGUGGAUUUUGAUUUCUCACUUCUAGGGCUGAAAAUAGAUCGGAUACGGAUCGGAUAUUGGUACAUCCAUAUUUUUUAACAGAUACAGAUAUGAAUAUUAAAUAAAUAUCAAAAUUGACAUUUAUAUUUGUUAUAAACUGAUACGGAUAUGAAUCGGUUAUUAAGCAUAUCUAUAUUUGUUAUAAACAGAUACGGAUAUGAAUCAGAUAUUAAACAUAUCUAUAUUUUUUUAUCUGAAUAUAAAUAUAAAUUAGAUAUUUUUAUGGAUAUUAAUAAAAUUUUUAGCAAAAUUUAAUUAUUAAAACUAGUAAUAAAGAUAUGACAUAAAGAAAAGAUUCAAGUAAGAAAAUAUAAUUUUAACAAGCAUUCGUCAAUAAUAAAAACUAACAAUAAUGAUAUAAUCAUAAAUGAUAUAUUUAAUAAAAAAAUAUAAUUUGUUGUCAUCAAAAGCAAGAAGCAAAAUUUUAAUGAAGGCAAAAAUUCAAAAAUAAAAACUAUAAUGAUAUAUUCAGAAGGGAUAAAUUUGAUUUAAAAAUUUUAAUUUCAGUAAACAUUUAUUACAAGCAAGAGAUAUAAUCAUAAUUCAAAGCUCUAUUUUAAGUAAGAAAUGGAAUAUAGAACUCAGAAAAAGACACAAGAAGAAUCUUAUAUUGAGUAUCCAAAUGAUCACGAACACUUUCUCUAGUUAACAUGAAUGUAUACUCAUCUAUACUCAUAAUAAAAAUACUUAAAUACAAAUAUGAGAAAAUAAAAAAGUCAAUUAAGACGUAUGUAUAAUAAUCCUAAAUAAUAAUCAUUCAAUAAAAUAAAUAUAUACUUACUUUCUUACUGGAACUCCUAUAUUUUGACUUCAUUAUAACGACACAAUUAUUAUAAGAAGAACCAUAAUAUUAUUUCAGAUAUAUGGCAUUCAAUAUUAAAAGAGCUUGGAUUUAAAUGAUAAAUGAUUCAAAUAUUUAGCAUAAUGCUCAUAAGAUAAAUGAUAUAAGAAAAAGGAUUUAAACAUAUAAAUUAUAUCAAAAACACAAUCACCAUCCACUAUAGUUAAUCUCAUUCAAAGAUAAACUUCAAAUACAUCGCAACACAAAUAUCUUUAACAAAGUUUUAUAAACUAAUAAGUAGAAUAGUUCCAUUUAAUGGAAUGACAUCAUCUGGCAAUCUUCAACGCUCCAAUCACCCUGCAAUAAAAAUAAUGAUUUCUCUUCACCAUUUCUUAAAUAUUUUUAAUUGCCACAUUAAUUUUUUUUAAUCCAUCUCGCACAACUAAAUUAAUAAUAUAUGCAGCACAUCAUAUAUGAAAGAAUUGACAAUUACAUACAAGUAUUUCUUGAAGUUUUUCUAUAAUAUAUUCAUAAGAAACCACACCAAGCAAACUUCUUAGCUUCACAAAUGCUUCUACCUUCAGUGCUUUGGUGAGGAUAUCAGCCACUUGAUCUUCUCCCUUGCAAUGAUGUAGUUCGACCACCUUAUCUUUGACAAGCUCCCGAAUAAAGUGAUAUCGAACUCCUAUGUGCUUACUUCUAUCAUGAAAAGCUGGAUCCUUGGCAAUCAAAAUUGCCGACUUAUUAUCACAAUAGAUUUUGGUCUGAUCACUUUGUGGAAAGUCCAACUCUGUCAACAUUCUUCUGAGCCAUAACACCUGAGUCAUGCAUGAUGAUGCUGCAACAUACUUGGCUUUUGCUGUGGAGAGUGCAACUAUAUCUUGCUUCUUAGAGGACCAAGUAAAAACACUCUUGCCAAAGAACAAUACAUUCCCAGAUGUACUCUUUCGAUCAUCAAUAUCUCUUGCCCAAUCACUAUCUGUGUAUAACCAGUUUUGAUGUGUAGAGAAUACCAAAAUCAAGUAUGCCUUUGAUGUUUCUCAGGAUUCGCUUUGCAGCUUGUAGAUGAAACUGUGUAGGAGACUCUGCAUAGCAACUGAUAAGCCCAACUCCAAACAUAAUGUCAGGUCUUGUAGUUGUUAGAUACUGAAGGCUUCCAAUUAUCUGCUCGAAAUAUGUUGCAUCUACCAAUCCACCUUCCUUCCUUACUCAACUUUAAUCCGGUCUCAACCGAAGUACUAACUGGUUUGGCAUUCUCCAUCUUGAAUCUUAGAAGUACCUCAUUUGCAUACUUCUUUUGGGAAACAAAUAUCCCAUGUUCAUUUUGAUGAACUUCAUGACCCAAAUAAUAGACCAGAAGACCCAUGUCGGUCAUCUCAAAUUCUUGAACCAUGCAACUCUUGAAUUCUUCAAUCAUAGUAGAACUAUUUCCAGUGAAGAUCAAAUCAUCAACAUAUAAGGAAACAAGUAAUAGAUCUCCAUACUCACUUUGCUUAAUGUGGAAAGUAUGUUCAUAAGGACACUUACGAAAUCCUUGUUCUUGAAAGUACUUGUCAAUGGGAGUGUACCAUGCUCUGGGGGCUUGCUUCAAUCCAUAAAGUGCUUUCUUCAACUUAUAGACUUGAUCUUCAUAUCCUUUUUUUCAUAUAUCCUAGAGGUUGUUCAACAUACACCUCUUCCAAGAUCCCAUUUAGAAAAGUGGACUUUACAUUCAUCUGAUGAAUCUUCCACUUGUUUUGAGAUGCUAAUGUAAUCAUGAGCCUCACAGACUCCAUUCUUACAACUGGGGCAAACACUUCAUGAUAAUCCACUCCGAGCUUCUGCUUGUACCCUUUUGCCACAAGUCUAGCUUUGUGUCGAUCUACACUACCAUCUGGCUUGUACUUUGUCUUGUACAGCCAUUUAACACCAAUAGCUUCAUGCCCCUUCAGAAGUUUUGUCAACUCCCAAGUAUGGUUCUUCUCAAUCGCCUUAAUCUCUACAUCCAUGGUUUUUUCCACUUUAGAUGAGUAGCAGCUUCUUCAUAUUUGAUUGGAUCACAAUCAGCAAACAUGAUACAGUGAAUCAACUCACUAUCAUCAUCCUUCUCGGGGACUAUUUAAUCAAGUACAUAGUCGCUGUAUCUAGAGGGCAUCGCAGUUGAUCUUGGAGGAUUUCUUCGAACACUCGGUGCAGAUGUGGGUGUAGAUUCUAGAGAGAAAGAAUUAGAAGAGGGUAAUGGAGAUGUUGAAGGAGGAGGGUUUAGAGUUUGCUGACCUUGAUCUUCUUUUUCUUCUUCAAGAUUAAUGUACACGCCAUGAUUUUCCUUCUCUUCUUUCGUCCACUCUCAAGUUUUUGUCUCAUCAAACUGUACAUCUCUACUAUUGAUCACCUUCUCCGUGGCCGGAUUGUAAAGCUUGUAUGCCUUCAUAUUUUUAGCAUAGCCUAUAAAGAUGCACUUUACACCCUCAUCAUCCAACAUUCUCCUUGGUUGCUGGGGAAUGUGUGCAUAUGCGAUCAAGCCAAAUACUCAUAGAUGACCUACUACUGACGGCUUCCUUUUACUCCAAGCUUCUUCAGGUGUCUUCUGUGCUAUACUCUUUGAUGGGUAUCUAUUUAGGACAUAUGUUGCACAAGCAAUUGCUUCUACCCAAAAAUAACUUGGCAUGUCUUUCUCAACCAACAUGCUUCUAACCAUCUCAACGAUGGUUCGAUUCUUCCAUUCUGCAACUCCAUUUUGUUGUGGAGAAUAAACCGAUGUCCACUAAUACACAAUGUCAUUUUCUUUGCAAAAAUUCUGACAUUCUCUUGAUAUAUACUCACCUCCUCCAUCAAAUCGCAGAUUCUUCACAUAUUGGCCACAUUGCUUCUCAGCUGAUGACUUAAAUUGACAAAACAUGCUAAAAGCUUCUGAUUUUUGUUUUAAAUAAUAAACCUAAAGCUUUUUUGUGUAAUCAUCAAUGAAAGUCAUGAAAUACAUGCUUCCUCCAAUCUGUGGACAGUCCAUUUCACACAAAUCUAUGUGAACAAGUUCAAGAGGCUUUGUAGCUCUAAUGGACUUGCUACUUGGGAAGGGAUCUCGAUACUGCUUUUCCAGGAUGCAAGACUUAAUUUGGAUGAUGUAUAGUAGGCAACCCUUUCACCAUCUUCUUCCUUGCCAGCAGCUUUAGACCUUCAAAAUUCAAAUGCCCAAACCUCAAAUGCCAUAACCAUGACUCAUCCUGGAUUAUGGUUUUGAAACAUGGCAAAGCAUCAUUUUGAAUCUUCAAAGGGAACAUGUGAUUCUUCAUUAUUGGCACCCUUGCUAUCAAAUUGUUCUGCUUGUCCUUCAACUCAUAAACACCCUUCUCGAUGUAUAUCACAUGUCCCUUCUCUUGAAAUUGACCAAUACUCAGCAGGUUGCAUUCCAACCCUGGUACAUAGAACACAUCGGUGAUAAAAAAAGGAUCAUUGUUGCAUGCUCGAAUCAAGAUCUUCCCCUUUCCUUUUAUAGAAAUCUUUCGAUCAUCUCCAAAUUUCGCCAUAGAGGUGAUGCUUUCAUCUAGCUCUAAAAACAUCUCUUUCUUUUCGCACAUAUGAUUGAUGCACCUUGAAUCUAAAUAUGUUGCCCAAGGUGACAAGCUAAGAGAGGGGUGAAAUGGUUCUUCUAAAUUUUUAAUUCCUUAAUUGAGUUAAUUGAUGAGUGAGUGAUGGUAGUAAAGUUAAAACAAUACACAAUGCAAACACACAAGAAGUAUAGUGGUUCGGUGCUCUCCUAAAGUAUAGUUAAUCUAAAUAUCUCUUUGUCGGGCUCACCAACAAACCUUUACCGUUGGUUUUACGGGUUCACCAAUAAACCUACAUCGUUGGUUUUACGGGCUCACCAACAAACCUUACAAAUUGAUUAAGAAGAAGAGAGUUGAAACUCCUAAAUGAGCAAAUAUAAUAAUUAUGAGCUACAAAGAAGAUUUUAGAAUAUAGUUAUCGCUUUGACAAGGCUCUCCUCUUCUUUGUCAAUAUUGCUUCACUCUUCAAGAGUUGGUGAAGCUCUUAAUGUCUCUUUUAAUCUGCUCAACCACUUCCUUUUGGCCCUUUGAAUGUAGCACUUGAUUGAAGAAGGCUAGGGCUUGCUUUUUUUUUAAUUGAACUUUAAUUUGUUUUCAAAAGAUUCUUUUCUCUGAUAAAUAGUGUCACUUUAAAUACUUUCCCACAUCUUUUGGUCACUCCUCAUUGGUCAGAUUUGAAAAACUAUCCGUUACUAGCCAUUGGGAGGUCAAAAAGUAUUUCUGCAGAACUAGCCGUUAUGCCUCUGUCCAUGCUGGGGUCGACCCAAGUUUUUCUGGGGUCGACUCAACUUACUGUGCAUCAGACUUGGGGUCGACUCAACUUUCUCUGGGGUCGACCCCUGCAACAGUGGGGUCGGCCUUCUCAGGAAUCACAGAACCUUGUAUUUCCGAUUGUUCUCACUGGGGUCGACUCAACCUAUCUUGGGGUCGACCCAAGCUACAGUAGGGUCGACUCAAACUCCAUUGGGGUCGACCCUCUCAGGGAUUUCAGAGACAUGAUUUUUGAGCAUAUAUCUUUGGGGUCGGCUCAUGUUCAGUUAGGGUCGGCUCCAACUGGGGUCGGCUCAAGGAAGCUUGGGGUCAGCUCUCUCAGUAAAUUUCAGAGAGUUGUUUUCUUGAGGCUUGAAGCUGGGGUCGACUCAAUGUUCUUUGGGGUCGGCUUCACUCCUGGGGUCGACUCAAGUAUACAUGGGGUCGACUCCACUUACUGUUCAUCUGUGCCAUUUUUGCAAAGGUGUGCUAGAUGGUUCCAUGAUGUGCCAGGGUCAACUCCACUUAUGUUGGGGUCGACUCAUUCCACACUUUGCUGCAUCUUAAGGUUAGACUAAUCUAUAUAAUCAAUGAAAUAUAUUUCAAGCAAUUUUGAGUGUAUGCCACGGUAGUGCUGCAUACUCUUAACAAUAAAAAUUAUUGUUUUUCCCUUAAGAGUAUAUUUCUCUUGAAACCUUGCUAAAUUAGAAUUAAGAAUUCUCUAUCCCCUUUUUUAUUACAAAUUUUAUCUCGUUGUUAAUCAUUGAAAGACAUCAUGAUCUUAUUCUCUUAAUGUAUCGAGGGUGUCGUAUUCAUUAAUGAUGUAUCACGUUAAAUUAUAUUAUUGAUUUGAUAUUUCCUCAAUGGUUGUGUCAAUCAUCGAAAUAACACUAUCAUCCUCAAAAUACCAUGUGCUGCUUUCACAAACCUCUGCUACAUUACAAACAAGUAACAUAGGAGAGCUUGAAUCUUCCUUCUUUUCAACAAAAUUGGCAUUAUUCUCCUCAUCAGCCAUCUUCUUCUUGCACUCAUACCGAUAGUGGCCAUAUUUGUUGCAGCAGAAACACUUGACUUGUGAUUUGUUCUAUUGGUAGCUUGUAUCUCGACCACACGCUCUUCCCUUUGAUGAAGUGCCGCUGUAAUACUUCUCCUGGUUGACCACAGCUGCUUCACCACGACCUCAUCCUCAACCAUGACCACGGUCGGCGCCUCGUCCUUCUUUCAAUCUUCUAUCAAAUCUAUCACCUAUCACCAAUUGAGCUUUGAGAGACUGCUCAACUGAUGAUGACGAUCUCUGACUGAGUCGUUGCUCAUGUGCUUCCAAUGAACCCAUGAGCUCUUCAACGGACAUCUUUUCAAUGUCCUUGAACUUCUCGAUUGUAGCUACAAUACGAUCGAACUUAGGUGGAACGGUUCUCGGGAUCUUCUCCACGAUCCUCAAAUCAGUGAUUUCUUCACCGUUCAUCCGCAUCUUGUUUGCUACGGCAAUCACUUUGCCAAAAUACUCUGAUAUAGACUCUAUGUCUGUCAUCUUCAAUCCUUCAAACUCUCCUCUCAAAGUUUGAAGGCGCACCUUUUUCACUCAAUCUGCACCUUUGAAGCUCUUCUCCAAAAUAUCCCAUGCCUCUUUUGACGUGGUAGCAUUCGUGAUUCGCUCCAGCACGACUUCAUCGACAGCUUGAGAAAGAAAGAACAACGCUCGGCUAUCUUUCUUUCGCGCCUCCUUUAGGGCAUCCUUCUUGGCUUGUGGGAGUGCCUCGUACUCUGCACCAGCUACAUCUGAAAAGCCGGUCUCCACAAGAUCCCACAUAUCUUGAGAUUUGAAGAGACAUCGCAUCUGGACCUUCCAUUGAUCGAAGUUCUUCCCGCUAAAUCGAGGCAGUUGAAGCUGGAUCAUACCGUUAUUUGAUGCUAUGAUCUAGUCUUGAUCUCCACCAACUCUCUCUUGCUUGCAGCCAGAUAUGCUGCCUACGAUCUCGCGCCCUAGAUCUUCCGAGGCUCUGAUACCACUGUUAGGAAACAACAUGCCUCUAGAUUGGCCUCUUUGGAGAAGUAGAAUUAGUAGAGAAGAGAGAGAGAGAGAAGAAGAGAGAGGAAUUGAGAAGCUACGUUGAGAAUUCAAUUCAGUCUAAAAGAACAUACGUUGCUUGCGAAGAGGAACUAGCCACCGCAUACCACAUAUAUAGCUUCAGUUCCCAACUCUAAACAAAUUCUAUUUCAACUGAGUCACUAUCAAAGACACCACUUCUAAUAUAAUUCUAAUCCAAUCUAAACUAAUCCAAUCACUAACCUAAUAAAACUCACAAACAAGUAAGAACUCUAGCCAAAACCAACUCCUAAUCACUUGACUUCUUAUAUUGGUUUACUUCCAACACCCCAACCGAUAGAGCAGCACGGGAACAUGUCUCCUUAUAAAGACUUCGUAUCGCCCUUCCUUCAUCUUAUCUUGAAAGAAAGUAAGAGAAGAUGGAUGAGUGUCGCGUAAGGUUGUGCACAUAUCCAUGCUCAUGAGAGGCAUCGUCUGCCAUGUUGAAAGCAGAGAAUGGGGAGACUCUAUUAGUGCUUAUGCUCUUUUUAUUGGACAUCCAGUACACUAAUGGAGAUCAUGGUCUUGAUUGGAUGAUCGCCUGAUUGUUACUUGAGUUAUCAGGACUCGAAAAAUGGACUUACAUAAAAUAACAUAUUGCAUUAAUGUUAGUUUUACUUAUAAAAUGAACUUGGCAAAACUUUAGCAAUGCUGUUCCAAGAAAUUACUUCAUCAGUGAGGAUGGGAAGGCCUCUCCUAAAACUCUCAUAAGUCUUCUUUGAUAUGACACCUUAGUAGAGUGCCAUUUUCCCCUCUGGGGAUAAGAAGUUAGACAUGCAUUCCCGCAAUAGACUAUAUAAUUUGAAUCUAGGAAUACGGUUCUUAAAGAGAAUAGAGUCCCCUAUCACAAAUUUUGCUACCAAAAUAAGUUUAAUCAGUUGAAGUUUGACAAAAUUUUUACAAACACUCAACCUCACAUCAACCUUCCGAGAACUGGAUCAAAUUUCCAACCCAAGCAACCUAGUAUGAACUAGGAAUUGCAGAACGAUAUCUGAGAAGAAUUAACCUAAUCAUUUACAAAUAUAAGUUGGGUCUAGACUUGGGAUGUUAAUUAAUAGGAUAGAAUUGAAUAGACUUGGGUCUAGAAAAGAAUUUCUCAACCUCGCAUGAACCUUCCGUGAGCCAGAUCAAAUCCCCAAUCCAAGCAACCUAGUGCGAACUCGGUGCCAAGGCUUCGAUAGAAUUGCAGAACGGUGUACGAGACUUGGGAUGUAAUAAAUAGGAGGGAAAAGAAGCAUGCUAAAUUAUGAAAAAAAAAAGUGUAUUCUAAACUAAUCAAUACUGCAAGAAUAGUUGCAUGUCAUCAAUUUGUGAUGAUCUAAACCCCCGUUUGUACUUCAGCAUCAGUAAUCAAACAAAAUUACCCAAGCCUUAACAGAUCCUCGAGUCUAUGGUUGCUAAUUAUUAUAAGAAAAGUAAAUCUAUCAGAUAAGACCAAGUGAACUCCUAGAGCUGGAUAAGAUAAGGAUCGAAAUGCAUGUGUUCAACCUCAAGGCCCUUCAAUACUGAACCCCAAAAGACAUCCCGAAAAAAAUGAGUAGACUCAAAUAGGACCUACAAUUCCAACAGAACAUGUGGAAUAGCUUAUGGCAACCAAAGCCCACCGAGGUGAUCAUCCUCAUACAUUUCUUAGUACGCGGUUUUUUUUUUUCUGAUGAAGUUUCUGAUCUACAUUGCGGUAAAUUGCUUCAAAGCAUAUAUUUUUGUAGUACAACCACAAAUCCACAAGCAACAAAAAUCUCUAGAUUUAGCGUUGUGGAAGCUUAAUAGCUUUUUUUUUUGGUGAAAAAAAAAAGCUUAAUAGCUUUGAUGCUACUCAAACUGGAAAGAACAUGAUCGAGAUUUCGGAACUCGAUGCAAAACAACAGAGUUCCCCAAUGCAAUCUCUAGUCUCUUCCAUGCCAAAAGUUUGUUUUUCCCCCUUGGUAGUGCCCCUGUGAGAAUCUUUCGGCCGCUAUCUCUUCAACUUUGAGAAUCCAAUGCAUCAACUUUGAUGUUGCGGGGAUUCAAAAACUCGUUUUUUAUCUGACGGUGUGUGAAAUCCACUAACAGAGACAUGAGAUCCAAAAGAAUAUAUGUGAAAUUUGAACUAAAACAUGUAAAGAACUGAGGGGAGAAGCAGGAGGAGGAGAGAAUCAACUUAGAUUGAUGUUCUAGUUUUCUUUCUCAUUCAUCGAAUCAGAUAGAUAUCCUUUUUUACAAAGAAGAAAGAAAGGAGAAGAUCAGAGACAAACCCCAGAUCCGACUCGACACCAUCCGAUCCUGAAACCUCUACCCAUCUAAAUAGAGUUCGUUAUCCAAAGCCAAGUCCCAAACCCUCAUACAAAAUGAUCAGAGGGUGAAAAAGAAAAAAAUAGAUUGUAGGGAAUUAUGAAAAGAAGAGAUAGAGAAGAAAAGGAAGCAAUUCUAUUUUUUCUUUCCUUUCUUUUUCUCUUUCUUCUCGGCCGUGGCAUCGAGCAUCAGAGACGGAGCGUGGUGGCGUGGAAGUCGUCGUCGGAGGGAGGGAGGAGGUUCAGAUCGAACGGCAGCGGCUGCCGGAAGGCGGAGGCGAUGUCUCCGUCGUCGAUGACGGAGGAAGAGGAGCCGCAGUCGCUGUGGCAGUCCUGAUCGCCGGAAAGGACGCGGGGCGGUGGCGGCGGCUUGGCCCGCCGCCGGAGAUGGGAGUUCGACCGGACGGGGAGAGGCGGCGCCGACAGCCGGGGCCCGCUGAAGGACUCCACGGUGCUGCUCAGGCUGCUGGACGUCGGCCGGUGCGGAGGCGGAAGAUCGGGAGACGAGUCUGGAUCAUGGUGGUGGCGGUGGUGGUGGGGGAAGGGAAAUCCGGCGACGGGGGCGACGGCGGUGGAGGAGGGGAAAGGAGGGGGAGGGGGGAGGGGGGAGCCGGCGGGGAGGGGGAAGUUGGUCUUGGCUUUGGGGCCGCGGAGGGCGCGGGCGGCGGCAUCGUAGGCGCGAGCUGCAUCCUCCGCGGAGUCGAAGGUGCCGAGCCAGACGCGGCUCUUCUUCCAGGGGUCCCGGAUCUCCGCCGCGAACCGCCCCCACGGCCGCUUCCUCACGCCGCGGAACCGCGCCUCCUUCACCGAUCCGGCUCCUCCCGCGGCCGCCGCCGCCAUCGCUGUGGUCCCCGCUGCCCGCGCCUUUCUCAUCGCCGACCGGGACGAAAGUCGAUAUAGAUGUGGGAAGGCAGAGCAAUGGAGGGGAGAGAGAAGAGAGAUUUAAGGGGACAGGAAUGGAGUCCGCUUCCUUGCUUCUCCUUCCAAGAAUGAUAAAUAUUAAGAGGAGAUCAGGAGUCUUGAUCUCUCUCCAUCUCUUUCUCUCUCUCUCGCUCGCUCGCUUCCUCGCGCCCCCACAAACCGACUUGAUUGCUUUCUUCUACCACCCCUCGCCUUUUCCUCUCCCCUUCCCUUCUUUUAAAAAUUUUCUUCUUCUUUUGUGGUCACCCCAAAAUGACCAAAACACCCUUGUCCAUUUUUUUCUCUCUCCGUUCUCCUUCCAACUGCCGCCGCAACGUGGCGUUAUUUUUCCUAAUAAUAAUUUUAUAUUAUUGUUGCGAUAAGAUCAGGAUUCGGGCGGCGUUAAAGGGCACGAAACGUCCAGGAAUCACGCCGUGCAGUCUCCGUCGGAGAUGACGGGGGCCAACGCGCGGACUAGUUGGCUCAGCUCAGAGGACGGGUCGGACGCUGGGAGCUGCUAUGCUGUCUCGCGGGUGAGUAUAACUAGAGGUAUGUUAAUGUAUGCAUGAUGCAGCCAAUAAAUCAGCAUUCUGCAAGCAUCUACAUGACUACAUGCAUGAAAUAAGUAUAGCACAAGACCCUUGUGAUUGGCAUCCCAUGAUCUUAUCUGCUGGCACUGUACGCAGAAACUUGUCUCUUUCUUGAUCUUGCGAGCUGGUAAUCUGAUGGCGAAAGUGAUGUGAAGCAUGGGCGUCUAAAUUUUCGUCAAAAGAGCUUUCCAAUUUCACCACCAUCUUCCCUGGUAUUUAGUAGUUAAAGUGCAACCGCUUAAUUUGAUUUUACCUUGAACUCCAGCAUUUCAUGAUAUUAAAUUUUCCUCAGCCUAAGGUUGGCGUGACAAUGGACUUGUUGGGAAAAAAUAAAUCGCCCCAAAGCACGUGAGCACGUCGCCAGCACGUGAUCAAAGGCGCCCGACCUGGAGGCGUCCGAUCUGGAGGCGCCCGACCCGGGCACCCGACCUCAGCGUCCUCGACCUCGGGAGCCCGACCUUGCUACCCACCUGCAGCGGUCACAUCCCUCUACAGCUCAGCCAAGGACCAUACCCUGCCACCGCUGUCAACAAUUAAUGCGCAUGGCCUCUGCAGACCUCCGGCUCACUCAGCAAUUAAUGUGCAUGUUAUCUACGGAUCUCAAGCCCUUCACGGCAACAGUUAACCUACUCGGUCACGUCCGAUCAGCCACGACGACUUACUGGCUCCGGCCUGAUCUCCUACGGCAAUGCAAUAAUUCACGCGAUCGUGCAUUAAUUCGGACGACAUGCUCAAUUAUGACUAUAACCCGCUUGCCCCGUCACAUCGCAGGUACACCUAUAUCCCUCUAUAAAAGAAAAACCCCCCUCCUUAGAGGAGGUUGGACUCUGAAACUCAGGACACCUAUUUCCUCCAUCCUUCUACACAUUAGCCCCCUCUGACUUAAGAAUCGGAGGGCCGGCGCUGGAAACCCCGGCCACCGGCUUUUUGCAGGCCCCCCGGAGGACGCCACCCGCCGACGAACCGCCACCCGCCAAUCCUUGCCGAAGCUCCUCUUUUUCAGCCGAGCGGUCAUCCCCGGGUCCAAAUUCCAGCAACAGUUGGUGCUAGAGGAAGGGCCCGAGUUGUGGCCAUGAAGCUGAGAAGUAAAGGAGCCUCUAAUGCCUCCCGGUGUCUCCCACCAAGUCCUGGACACUCUGUCCAGAACUCACCGUCUCUGGCUGCUCUGGUUCCCCAAGUCCAGCCGGAACAGUUCAAUAUCCUGGUGCAGCAAGUCCAAGCCUUGGCCACGGCUGUCUAGGGCCUACAGCGCGACGGAGCCCCACCUAUGCCGCCUCUGCAGGCCCAAGUUCAGCCAGUGCUUCCUCCGAAAGGACCAGUGCCCCAAGGCCAAAAUCUCCAUGGCUCCUCAAGGGCUAAUAAUGAAGAACGAUGCUGUCACCAAGGCUCAACCUGGACGUCUCCCCGGAGAGAAAUGCAGGGGAGGAGCAUAAACCGAAGGCCGCAGCCUUCGGAAGCUGAGUUAGCUCCAGACCGCCACGAGCCGGAGCAGACUACUAUGACAAUCCCCCAGGCUGGAGAGCUCGACAGGAAGGUCGAGCACCUGGAGCGCCAGAUUGAAGCGCUUCAUAGCAGGAAGGCAAGGCGCGAGGGUGACUUUAAGUUUACCACCAAGUUCCCUUUCCUGCCAGAUCGAGAACGAGCCGAUCCCACCGAGGUUCAAAAUGUCCCAAGUGGAGCCCUACAAUGGAACCACCGACCCCCUCGAUCAUUUGGAAAGUUACCGAGCCCUUAUGGCAUUGCAAGGAUCCUCGGAAGCUGUGCUCUGCAAGGCCUUCCCAGCUACCCUUCGGGGAACCGCUCGGCUUUGGUUCUCUGGAUUGAAGCCGAGUUCGGUGUUCUCUUUCGAGCAGCUCGGCAGGCAGUUCGCCACCAACUUCGCUGCCAGUCGUCGCCAGCGGCGAACAUCGGAUUUUCUCCUGGACGUCAAGUAGAAGGAAGGGGAAUCCCUCAGAGAAUACCUCGACCGCUUCACCGCUGCAACCUGGGAGGUCCACGAGCUCGACCAGUCAAUAGCCAUGUCGGCACUAAAGAUUGGGGCUCGAUCCUACAGAUUCCUCUUCUCCAUCGAGAAGAGCUUUCCCGCCGACUUCACCGAAAUGUUGGCCCGAGCUCGGAAAUAUGCGAAGGCCAAGGAGGCUAUCGCCUCCAGUCGGGGCGCGAUCGAGCCGGCCUCAAAGAAGCAAAGGAAGCGCCGCGAGGAGCGCAGCCGCCCAAGAAGCCGAUCUCCCCGUCGAGAUAGAAACCUGCCUCGGCUGAGGAGCCCGCCUCGACAGCAGGGACGGCUUCGACCAAGGUCCCUGCCACAGCCUCGGAUGCACUCGGGGAGGUACGAGAACUACACUCCCAUCAACGCACCCCGGGCCGAGAUCCUAAUGGAGAUAGAAGGUCGGAACUUCUUCCGACCCCCGCCUCCGAUGCAGGAUGUGGGAGUUCCGCGUAACCCUAGGAAGUACUGACGCUUCCACCGGGACCAUGGCCACGACACGGAGGAUUGUUUCCAGCUCCGAGAUGAAAUCGAGGCACUUAUCCAUCGCGGGUUACUCAACCGGCUCGUGCGGAACCGACACGAGGAAAGGAGGCCAGUGGAAAAUGCCGCGCCGCCCGAAAAUCCAAAUGACAAUAGGCCUAUCGCUGGCACCAUCAAUGCCAUUGGAGGAGGAAGCUCGGCUGAAGAGCCAACCUAGGAAAGAACCCCUCCGAAGCGCCCGUGCACCUCCGAAACUAUCUCAUUCUCCGACGAGGACAUGGAAGGAGUUGAAACUCCUCAUGAUGAUGCUGUGGUCAUCUCCAUGAUUGUAAAUAAGUUUGAUGUAAAGCGUGUCUUAGUUGAUAAUAGAAGCUCAACAAAUAUUUUGUACUACCAUGCCUACCAAAAAAUGGGGUUAACAGAAAGCCAGAUUCGGAGAAUGAACGCUCCACUGGUCGGAUUUAUCGGGGACUCGAUUCCGGUUGAGGGCGAGGUCAGUUUUCUCGUCACAGUUGGGCUCGCCCCCCGAGAAAGUACGGUGAGGACGGACUUUCUUGUGGUCCGCCUGCCUUCGGCCUAUAACGCCAUUCUUGGACGACCAGGACUUAACGCCCUUCGAGCUGUGGUCUCGACUUACCACCUGCUCGUCCGGUUCCCCACCGACCAAGAAUAGGCGAAGUUCGGGGGGACCAGUUAAUAGCUAAGCGAUGCUACAUGGCGACCCACAAAGCAAAGCAAUCGGCUAAAGCACCAAGCCAAGAGGAGCCAACAGCCAGGGCAUCAAUUCAAGUAUCAGACCAGGCGCUCCCCAUCGAAACUUUGGUGGUGCGGGACAACCCCUAGAAAGAACGGGUAGAGCCCGGUGAGCUUCUUACCCAAAUUUCUUUACAAGAUGACUGUCCAGAGCUAACCGUGCAGGUCGGCUCCGGCUUGAGCUCCCUUAAAAGGGACCGCCUGAUCGAGUUCCUUCGGUCCAACAUGGACGUCUUCGCAUGGUCACCCGCCGACAUACCGGGAAUCGACCCUGAGGUCAUGGUUCACCGACUCCAGGUGAAGCCAACCUGUAGGCCCGUGCGACAGAAGAAACGGAGCUCUUCUCCGGAACGACAACGAGCAGCGGCCGAGGAAGUGGACAAACUCCUCGAGGCCGGCUUCAUCCGGGAGGUCUCCUAUCCAGACUGGCUCGCCAACGUGGUCCUUGUGAAGAAAUCCAAUGGAAAGUGGCGCAUGUGCGUGGACUACAUCGACUUGAACAAAUCCUACCCAAAGGACAGCUUUCCACUUUCCAGCAUCGACCAACUUGUCGACUCCACCUCGGGACACCAGUUGCUGACCUUCAUGGAUGCCUUCUCGAAGUAUAAUCAAAUCCGAAUGGCGCCAAAAGACGAGGAGAAGACAACUUUCAUCACCGACAAGAGCCUCUAUUGCUAUAAAGUAAUGUCGUUCGGGUUGAAGAAUACCGGAGCAACAUAUCAAAGACUGGUCAGCCAAAUCUUCAAAAAUCAAAUAGGCCGAAAUAUGGAGGUCUAUGUGGAUGACAUGCUGGUAAAAAGCCGAACGACCGAAGACCAUGUGGCUGACCUCAAUGAGACUUUCUCCACCCUCAGAAAAUAUCGAAUGAAGCUCAACCCUGCUAAAUGUGCAUUCAGAGUCACCUCGGAAAAANNNNNNNNNNNNNNNNNNNNNNNNNNNNNNNNNNNNNNNNNNNNNNNNNNNNNNNNNNNNNNNNNNNNNNNNNNNNNNNNNNNNNNNNNNNNNNNNNNNNNNNNNNNNNNNNNNNNNNNNNNNNNNNNNNNNNNNNNNNNNNNNNNNNNNNNNNNNNNNNNNNNNNNNNNNNNNNNNNNNNNNNNNNNNNNNNNNNNNNNNNNNNNNNNNNNNNNNNNNNNNNNNNNNNNNNNNNNNNNNNNNNNNNNNNNNNNNNNNNNNNNNNNNNNNNNNNNNNNNNNNNNNNNNNNNNNNNNNNNNNNNNNNNNNNNNNNNNNNNNNNNNNNNNNNNNNNNNNNNNNNNNNNNNNNNNNNNNNNNNNNNNNNNNNNNNNNNNNNNNNNNNNNNNNNNNNNNNNNNNNNNNNNNNNNNNNNNNNNNNNNNNNNNNNNNNNNNNNNNNNNNNNNNNNNNNNNNNNNNNNNNNNNNNNNNNNNNNNNNNNNNNNNNNNNNNNNNNNNNNNNNNNNNNNNNNNNNNNNNNNNNNNNNNNNNNNNNNNNNNNNNNNNNNNNNNNNNNNNNNNNNNNNNNNNNNNNNNNNNNNNNNNNNNNNNNNNNNNNNNNNNNNNNNNNNNNNNNNGUGUACUGCUUGCAAGAGGUACUAUGGGCUCUUGAUGCUACGGACUGAAUGCAACUGAGCCGGCCUUGCUAGUGGCCGAGAAUGAUUGAGCCGGCCCCGCCAGUGGCUGAUAAAAAACUGAGCUGGCCCCGCCAGCGACCGUUAAUGAAUUUGCCGUAGUAUCCAAGGGGUACUACUUGCAAGAGGUACUAUUAAUGGGCUAUUAGAUGCUAUUGAUCGAAUGUAACUGAGCCGGCCUUGCCAGUGGCUAAGAAUGACUGAGCCGGCCCCACCAGUGACCGAUAAUAACUGAGCUGGCUCCGCUAGUGGCCGAUAACGACUUCACAGUAACAUCUGAGAGUAUGAACCACGGUAUGCCGGGGGUACGGUUUUUACGAUAUAUAUUUUUAUGAAAAUUCUUGAUGACAUAAAACACUAAUUUAUUUUCUCAGUAUAAAUGUUUUAUCAUGAUGAAUUGUUAGGUAGUGUACAUGUCAGCUUCUCAAACCCUGUUAAACAUGUUUAGCAUUAUAGUUGAUCCAAUAAGAUUAUGCAGGAUUACUAAAGAUGGGCAUCGGGCCGUGCCGGGCCCGGCUUGGCCCAGGCCCACCGGGCCACAGACCAAACGGGCCGUGCCUGGCCCGGCCUGUUACUAAACAGGCCGUGCCUGGCACGGCCCGCUUAACCUAAAGGCUAAGCCCGGCACGACCCUAGGCCCGUGGGGUGGCGGGCCGUGCCGGGCUCGGUGCGGGCCGUGCCGGGCUCGGCACGGGCCGUCCCAGAAGAGUCUUCUGUUAAGUCCAGAAGAGUCUCAAACACCCUUGUGGAAGUAGGGAUAAACGCCACUCCCCAUUUUGAGUAAUUUUAGCAACAGAAAUGAGCUCUCCCUCCAAUUCAAGGUGAACUCGUCACUAGCCAGCUAGGUAACUCAGCCCUCUGUCAAGCCAUGGAGCACUCUGGAGUACAGAGCCCAUCCCUAACACUUCUUUUUAUGAGACCAGAAACUACAGUGACAGGGGCGGUGGUGGUGGUGGAAGGGAAAUCCGGCGACGGGGGCGACGGCGGUGGAGGAGGCGAAAGGAAGGGGGAGGGGGAGGGGGGAGCCGGUGCCGAGGGGGAAGUUGGUCUUGGCUUUNNNNNNNNNNNNNNNNNNNNNNNNNNNNNNNNNNNNNNNNNNNNNNNNNNNNNNNNNNNNNNNNNNNNNNNNNNNNNNNNNNNNNNNNNNNNNNNNNNNNNNNNNNNNNNNNNNNNNNNNNNNNNNNNNNNNNNNNNNNNNNNNNNNNNNNNNNNNNNNNNNNNNNNNNNNNNNNNNNNNNNNNNNNNNNNNNNNNNNNNNNNNNNNNNNNNNNNNNNNNNNNNNNNNNNNNNNNNNNNNNNNNNNNNNNNNNNNNNNNNNNNNNNNNNNNNNNNNNNNNNNNNNNNNNNNNNNNNNNNNNNNNNNNNNNNNNNNNNNNNNNNNNNNNNNNNNNNNNNNNNNNNNNNNNNNNNNNNNNNNNNNNNNNNNNNNNNNNNNNNNNNNNNNNNNNNNNNNNNNNNNNNNNNNNNNNGAUCUCUCUCCAUCUUUUCUUUCUCUCUCUCUCUCUCGCUCGCUCGCUCGCUUCCGUAACAGAAUUGGUGGAUUUUCAAUUUUCCAGUUGUCAAUUCAUAUAGGUCUUUCCCCCAUGGUGUUCUCUUACCUGGACUGGCAGAGGAGUUGAAUUGACUUGAUUGUCAAUUCAGGCCCUUAUGGGCCAUUCCGAGCUGGCCCGCGGGCCGUGCUGUGUUUGUCCCAUGAAUCGUGCCAGCCCAGGCCCUUAUGGGCCGUGCCGGGCUCGGCCCGCGAGUCAGAAAUCCUUAACCCAGCCCGGCCCCUUUUUAUAAGCCAUGCCUAGCACGGCCCGUUACUGUAGCAAGCGGCCCGCUUCGUGCCGGGCCGUGCCGGGCCAUGGGCGGUCCGGCCCAAUGCCCACCUCUAAGGAUUACUUACUGAACCGUGUAGCUCAUACCCGUUCAUUUAUAUUUUCUUUCAGAUCACCACCAGUGAUAGCAGUCAGAGACACUGUUCUUUUGUAACAGGGCUUCUUUCUUUUUGGGGUGAAACAUAUAUACUUUUGUGUACAUGUACUGUAUAGAAGCACUGUAUUUUAUAACAACCAGCAAGUUGUACCGAAAAUACUUUAAUAUAUGAAAAUUUGACUGUUUUGGCUACUUGUUACCAAUGUAUGGGGCUUUGUGCUAUUGUGGACGGUAGUCGGCAAUAGCAUGGCCGUGUCACGGAUCCAGAUCCGAGGCAUGACAGGAACCUAAUUUAACCAAAUUUUAUGAUUGUACCAUACCGAUGCCGACCGGUACCCAGUACGGUACAGGCUGAAUCGGUCGAUUCCGACCGAUUCAGCAGACCUUGAUCAAACCCAACUUGAAAUAACCCGGGUGGUGCUUAUAAAGCCUUUCCGUUUGCCUAUGUACAAAUUAAACUACAUAAAAUUACUUUUAUUAGCAAAAUGGACCUUGAGAUUGGUUAACGCUAACAUAUGAGCUCAUGAUUGUUUUUUUCAUUGUUUGGUGGAACCAUUAUAAGUUAGGGGCCAAAAUUAUUCCCAUCUUCUUUAGUAUUUUGGGUGGACCCAAUGUUGAAUUCAUUGACCAAAUCAAACACUCUGUAAGAAGGAUAUUAACUAGAGUGGUGAAGACUACUAGGUCAACCCACACCACGUCCUGGUUCAUAUGGAGAGUUAUAGAGAUGCUGUCGCCACCAUCCUCUGGCAUUAGCUUCUCCUUCACCCCUAUAUGAAGCAUCCUUUCCAUGACAUCUACUGUGAUAACAUGAUCAUCGACUUUGGUUCUUAUGCAAUCUUAAAAUUUACGUGCACGGGCUGCAAAGAUUUAACAAGUCUUAAAAUUCUUAUCCAGUCUCAAAAUCCAUACCUAGACCACUCCUGUAAUAAAUGCUGGGUUGUCCCUACUGCUCCUUUUUUCUUAAAAAAGAAAAGAAAAGAGGAUUAAAUUAGACUCUAUUUAUUGGGUCAUGUGACUCCAAUUGGUUUCUUGGAUCCCACUCAUUUGAGGCAUAUGCAGAAGGAUAUAGUUGUCAUUCUUUGCUAUUGAACAUGUGUGGAAUUUCUAGCUUUAAAUUUUAUUUUUUAUUCAAAUAAAUGCAAAACUCCAUGCGUUAGUUCUUUAUUUUGGUUCAUAAUUUAUGCUCCUUAUUAACAAUCUUGCACCAAAUUAAUUAUUUGAGACUUAAGUUCAACCAUCUGUUGUGGGAUAUAUGGCACAUGGUCACUACCUUCAAUGCUUGUUACAACUGACCUCUCCUUUCUCAAUAGCACUUCUCUGCCUUCUCAUUUUUAUUCUUUUGCUUUAGCUGAUCAUGCAAGCCAAAACUAUUUGAAUUUUGAGGAUUGUCCCUCUUUAUCCAAAAAAGAGAGUUUUGAGCAAAGCUAUAGUAUUUAUCUUAUUGGCUGACUACAAUAAGUGAAAUGUUAAUCUAUUUAAGGAGCUGAUCCAACAAAUAUGCACUUGUAACAUAGAAUAUGUCACUUGAGAUAAAGAAUAGUCAUAACAUGAAUUAUCAUUGCUAUCUACCCAAGGUAUCAAGCAAUCAUAACUUGCCUUUUUGAGGUUAAAACUAAAGAGUUAAGUAAAGUUACUCAAUUUCUGCUUCAUCAAAAUAUGAGAGUAUUAGUGAUGGUCAACCUAAUAUCACUUACAAGGCUGGAGUCAUGCAUGAAGGAGGAGCAUGAUGAUGAGCCGACUUAGAAUAAUUCUGUAGCUCAUGAAGACACAUUACCUCAACAAAGGUUCUUAUCCAAGAGCAAGCUAUUGACAAUAAGGUAAUCAACAGUGUUCGAUGAUUUAUCUAACAUGAGGGCAUGAUGAAAACAUUGUGCUUACACUAUCAGCUUCAAGCUGUCCCUGAACAUGCCAAGAAUCUUUUGACAAUGUGCAAUGUGCAUACAUGAAGACAUGCUCCCAUCAACAAUUAAGUGCAGUAAGGCAGGGAAGGUAGCAACGGGAGUUCUCAUCAUGAUGGCCCUAAACUCAAAUUAACAUACACAAUGAGACUAAAUGAUAUCAAACUGCAUACUUGGAGUCUUGGACUUCUUAUUGAUAUUUUGAUGGGGAGGUGUGGUCACUUUCACUUUGAUGAAUAUCUUUAGGAUUGGGAAUAUCUUCUAAGCCAGUCAGCUGGAAGGCUACAUUUGGAUUCGGUAACAUCACCAAGACUUUCUAGGUUUCUUCCUGUUGGACGUUUUUUUAGCAUUAUUCUGUUAGUGUUUGUGGUAUUUAUAAUGGACAAAUCAUUAAUCAAUUGGAUUCAUGAACCUGUUUCAACAAAUUUACUAGGCCCUGAAAAGACUUGCCCCAAAAUAUAUCUUUACCAUCAUUGCUUUUAGGUUAUUUGUGAUUUUAGUAUUUACUCUAAUGUUUCUAUACUUCUUAGGCGUAGGUCCUUCAAAGAACUGUGUAUAAAGCAAAGCCUGUAUGUUGCAACAGUCUUCACAAUUGAAUGAAAUUUUUCAAGAUAAUACUGUUUUAGUUUUUUAUUAGUUUGAUUAUUGUGACUUCUGUUAGUUUCACAUUUAUACAGCUGUAUCUAGGCUUAGUUCAAGUUGGGAGUAUAAUCCUUGUCCAAGAACAGAGUUGAUAGUAGUUAGUAGGCAACUGGUUUACAUCUCAGUGGAAGUUUCAGAGAAACCAAAUUGAGAAACUGGUGUGAUUCUUGAGAAACUCGUUCCAAAACAUAAACAGGAAAAAAAAGCAUAGUUUUGGAAACCAGACUCCUAAAUCCUAAUGGAUUAGUGCUGAAGAAAAUGUCAUGACAAGGGGUGGGGGGUGGCGGGGGGCGCAGAGAGAGAGACCUGCUGUUGCCGCUUGCCCCUGCUUAUCAUCUACUCCAACCCACCACAUAGAGGUUUCAAUCCCAGAUGUUUUAAAACUAUAAGGGGAAAAGGGAGGAAAAACUGAAAUGAAGUUCUCCUUUAUGGUCUUGAUAAAACCACUUUCCAUUUCUUUGAUACAUUAAACUCUCUUUGUUUUCUUAUAGGAAGAGAGAGACCAAACACUCUCAAAAGAGAAGUUCCUUUAUAAAUAUCCAUAACUUCAGUUUUAGCUAUUUAUGAAAUUGAGUCCAACAUCAAAAACUAGUGAUGAUCCACUUGGAAACCAGUUUCUAAGUGGUUUUUGCGCAUGUGUUGUAUAAGCUAUUCUGUUUACUUGGUGACCAUAUUUCCCAUUUCCUGCAUUAGGUUAUUUUCUCAAUUAUCACUUCCCAUUCUUCGCUUUCAUAUCAUUUCCUGCAUCACUUUCCCCUAACAGCUUUGCUUGUGGCACCUCCAGUUAUCCCUUUAUAUAUUUUAGUUGUCCCUUGUCCUAUAUAUUCCAAUUUGAGUUGUCAUGUUGGUAGAAGACAUGGUAGCAUGAUCGAAUUCUUACUCACUGAUGCCUUCUACAACUAUUGAGCCAUCUAUUCAAGGUUCAUAGUCUAAAUAUUCUAUUUCUAAUUCAGGACUGGGACUCACAGAAUGCUAUGCAGAUUGCAUUACCAUUCUGUCAGGAAUUUUCCUGCUGCACAAGACAAAGGAUAUGGGCAACUCCGUCACCACAGAACCAACUAGGCUGCCUGAAUCCGAACUUCAAAACCAGUAAAUGUCUAUGCCAUCAUGCUUCAAAGAUUGUUGCUUCCCAGGAUCUGUUUCUUUGCACAAACUUUGACCUCAAAGACACUAAGAACCUCAGGUCCUUACAUCCAAAAUAAUGAUGGGGUUCACAAUUGGCUGGUACAUACAUUCUGAGGCCAGACUUUCUUCAGGGAUCUUGACAUGCUUUUAUUGCUUUCAAGAACCGUGAGGCUUAACUCUGCAGAUUACUUAAGAAGGAGAGCUUAUCACUUGCUGUGUUAUAAUAGGCAGACUAUUCUAUUCUACCAAAAUAAGAGAAGAAAAAGAAACGAAAAAAUGAUGUACAUAUGACUUCGUUUUUUUUUUUUUUUUUUUUUUUUUUGCUGUAAGGAUGAAACAUUUUACUUCCAAUUCAUAUCAUAGAAAAGCUGUUUCAGCAGACCAUCUACACCCUUAAAUUAUCAUGCAGCAAUUUUAGUACUAAAUUUUCUUUACAGGAUGGAUGGAUUGAUUGUAUAUAGGUGGAUCAAUCGAAGGCUGUCUCCGGGAUGCAUUGUCGACCAUUUGAGAACAUUAUAAGUACCGUCCUACAUGUAUUAAGAAAACAGACCCCACCUGAUGCAUCCAUUUGACAAAGAAGUCAUAAUUCAUAUUAUUUAUUCACUUCUUCUACUUAUUCCAGCUCCAUCUUGUUAGAUGUCUCUGAAACUAUAUAUGCAGCCUUGGCUUUUGGCAAACUUCUUUGCAGCAUAGGAAAUAGCAGAACAUAGUAGUGGAAAGAACCAAGGUUCAAGGACGAAUUAAAUUCAAAGUAUUGUAAUGCAGUUUGAUUUUAUUUUCUAAGUCAACAGCUUUAAUCAAUGAAUGGUAAAACAAGCUAGAGUUGCAUUUUGGUUGCAUUAUUGUUGUAUGCAGAAGAAAAAGAAUGUAAAGUUGUUUCAUGAAAAGAAAUAUCUCAGAUUCUACUAACGGAGGUUCAACAAAGAAGAUUUUGCUCUUUUUUUGAGAGAGAGACUUGGGAAUUCCUGAGAAUGAAUACCGUAGUGGAAGGUGGAAAUGUUUUUGGAUAGCUUAUUUCAUUUCUUGUAAUAACUAUACAAAUGGGAGGUUUUAAAAUUGGUCCUUUUAAGUUUUUUGUUUUGUUAUACCAAAAGGCUGUAUGAGUUUUUUUACUUAAAUUAGCUGUGAAGAUCAUCAUUGAAGGAUAAAAUAACAACCUAAAAAGAAUAGCUUAUUUCAUUUCUUAUAAUAACCAUACAAUGGGGAGGUUUAAAAAUUGGUCCACAAGCCUUUUGUUUUGUUAAACCACAAUGUUGUAUGAGUUUUUCCUAAAAUUAAAAGAAAAAACUAUGAAGAUCAUCACUGAGGUAUAAAAUAAUAACAUAAAACAAACCCCUCCAAUUAUUUUAAAAGUAAAAAGCCACUAGUUAAUAUCAUAGCUUGGGCAUUCCGCAGCCAUCCUACUCCAAAAAAAUUACAAUCAUGAUAAUAUGCUCUUUUUAUUUUCUCUUAUUUUUUACUUUUUAGAGUGAUGCUACUUGGCCAACUAUGUGUUAUUGACUUGCAACUCAAAAAGCUUAAAUUGUUGGAAGGAGGAUCAGCUCAGGCUAAUAAACCUAUGUGGCACCAUUUUUAUUAGUUAGUAUUGGACUAUGACAAGCUUUCCUACCCAAUCUCAUGAUGCCCUCAUCAUAAUUGGCUCCUACUCGAAAGAGGGGGGACCUAUCCAUUCUUCAGGAACUAUUCGACCAUACCGUAUCCUCCUCGAUCUUGAUAUCACCCAAUAAAGAGCCCAUAUGACUAAUAAAGAUUGUGAAGCAUGGACUUGGCUCUAAUACCACUUGUCAUGGAUUCAUGGUCUAAAAACUUAAGCUAUUAGGAGGAUUGGAUUAGGCUAAUAAACUCAUGUGGCACCCCUCUUAUUAGUCAAUAUGGAACUAUGACACAUGCCAUCUUACAACAGCUUGAUGAUAUAUGGCAUAAGUGAAUUACCAUGAUUUGCAAGUUUGAUGCAAUAUAUAGUGGAUGUAAUGUUACAUGAUCAUUGGUUGUUUUAUUUGUCAUAAAUUUCUUCAACUUUUUCUUCAAUAAUAUGCUCUUUUCAUUUCAUUUUAUUUUUGUAGUUUUUUGAGUGAUGCCACUAGGAGCAUGGAUGUAUGGCACAAGUGGAUUGCUGUUCAUGUACUAAACAGUGAAGGCAUCACAUAAUCAUCGGUUGCAUCAUGUGUCAUAAAAUUAUAUACUCUCUUUAUUUUAUUUUAUCUUAUUUUUUGUAUUCAUUUCUUUUAUUUUUUUAGAGCGAUGCUACUAGGCCAACCAUGGCACCCCUUAAUAGUUUUAUGACGUAUGACAUAAGUGGAUUGCCAUGAUUUAUAGUUUCAGUGUAAUACAUAGUAGUGGCAUCGUAUAAUCAUCAGUUUCCUUAUUUAUUAUAAAAUUUCUUCUUCUUCUUCUUCAAUUAUAUGCUCUUUUUAUUCUAUUCUAUUAUAUUUUUUAGAGUGAUGCUAUUCGGCCGAUCAUGACAUCCCAUAAGAACACUAUGAUAUAUGGCACGAGUGGAAUGUUGUGAUUUGUAGGUUUGGUGUUGUACAUAUUGGAAGCAACGUAUAAUCAACAACCGUCUUAUUUAUCAUAAAAUUUCUUUUCUUCUUCUUCUUCUUCAAUAAUAUGCUUUUUUAUUUUAUUUUUUAUAUUUAUUUUAUGGCAAGUUUGAUGCAAUACCUAGUGGAGGUGUCAUAUGAUUAUCAGUUAUCUCAUUUGUAUUAAAUUCCAUCUUCUUAUGCUUCAACUUCUUCAACGAGGCGCUCUUUUUAUUUUUUUCUGCAUUUAUUUUAUAAUAGGUUCAAUGAAACACCCCACCUAUAAUCAUCAAUUGCUUUAUUAAUCAUAAAACAGCUUCUUCUUCUUCUUCUUGUUAUUUUUAUAUUUUAUUUAUUUUAUAUGAUUUUAUUUUAUUGCAUCUAUUUUACGGCAAGUACAGUGCACUAAUGUGCUCAUUUGUCUUAAAAUUCCUUCUUCCUCCAAAACAAACAUCAACCCAUCAAAUGCCAAUUACUUUCAAGUGAGUCAUUAUUUUGUACAUCCAUAUUAAAUCUCGAGGCUAGGUGGCUCUCCGCACUCCCACCACAACACAUACUUUUUUCUCUCUUUUUCUCCAGAGUCCAAGAUUAUAUAGAUACUUCAUUUUUUUUCUUUUUUCUUUUUCUAUUUUAUCCUCACCUAGGUUGGAGUCUAGACCUACAGUUAAACCAAAUUACUGCUCAUGGAACUGGGAAUUUAUAUGUACAAAGAUCGAAGCGAGAGGGUUGACAACCUUCGAAACCAAACCCCACCCCUUCGAAACCAAACCGUCCAGACCAAGAUUCAGGAGUCAGAUGUCCUAAUCUUUCUUAAGUACCCUUCCACCUACUGUCGUCAUCUCUAUAAUUAGUUCAGUCUUUAUCAAGAUAUGCAGAACGGGAUCCAAUUUAGAAAAGGAGAUAUGUGCAGGGGCUACUAAAAUGAUGUCUCAUCUCACUGAAUGCAGCUGAACCUAGCAGAAAAACAGAUCUAGUUUGCCAUUCCAAAAGUACUACAGAAACAUAUUCCAAUCGGUGAAAUUUUCAGAAGUUUCAGUUGAGUUAAAUCUCAUCUGCAAAACAUUCUAUAGAAAUUUAAAUACAGUAUUGGGGUGAUAAUAAUUUGCCUGGAUUUGACAAGAACAGUAUGUUAUCCUCGCCGCUAGCGUUGUGAUGCUGUCCAGCUUUUGACUAGUUUGUCAAUUGAGCUAUUUUCAAGGAAAGAUAGUCGAAAUGAUAGCAACAAAUAUAGACCUCAAAGCAAGUCAGGGCACCAAUAAAGAAUUUAAACAAUAGUAUGCAAAGAUGCCUCAGAAAUCUCCUACAAAAUCUAGGUAGUUUAACAUAAACAACUAGUGCAUCUACAAUUUCAUCUGUCAACAAGUCACUUUUAAACUUACUGAGACAAUAAGAUAUUAACUGUCACGCCCCCGGCCCGAGAUCGCGAGUCGGGGGUCGCGCCAACCGCCGCACACCCGUAGGGAACUCUCCCAACGAGCAUGCAAGGCAUCUAAACCAAAUAUCUCAAAAUAUAUAUAACUAAAAUAAUUCAGCUGAAAUAAAUGCAAUCUUAUUCCAUUGACUGACACAAAUUAUAAAGUUUCACAGUUCUCAAUGCGCAGCGGAACAAUAAAAGAUAAACUUCUUCAAUUAUAUGCUCUUUUUAUUCUAUUCUAUUAUAUUUUUUAGAGUGAUGCUAUUCGGCCGAUCAUGACAUCCCAUAAGAACACUAUGAUAUAUGGCACGAGUGGAAUGUUGUGAUUUGUAGGUUUGGUGUUGUACAUAUUGGAAGCAACGUAUAAUCAACAACCGUCUUAUUUAUCAUAAAAUUUCUUUUCUUCUUCUUCUUCUUCAAUAAUAUGCUUUUUUAUUUUAUUUUUUAUAUUUAUUUUAUGGCAAGUUUGAUGCAAUACCUAGUGGAGGUGUCAUAUGAUUAUCAGUUAUCUCAUUUGUAUUAAAUUCCAUCUUCUUAUGCUUCAACUUCUUCAACGAGGCGCUCUUUUUAUUUUUUUCUGCAUUUAUUUUAUAAUAGGUUCAAUGAAACACCCCACCUAUAAUCAUCAAUUGCUUUAUUAAUCAUAAAACAGCUUCUUCUUCUUCUUCUUGUUAUUUUUAUAUUUUAUUUAUUUUAUAUGAUUUUAUUUUAUUGCAUCUAUUUUACGGCAAGUACAGUGCACUAAUGUGCUCAUUUGUCUUAAAAUUCCUUCUUCCUCCAAAACAAACAUCAACCCAUCAAAUGCCAAUUACUUUCAAGUGAGUCAUUAUUUUGUACAUCCAUAUUAAAUCUCGAGGCUAGGUGGCUCUCCGCACUCCCACCACAACACAUACUUUUUUCUCUCUUUUUCUCCAGAGUCCAAGAUUAUAUAGAUACUUCAUUUUUUUUCUUUUUUCUUUUUCUAUUUUAUCCUCACCUAGGUUGGAGUCUAGACCUACAGUUAAACCAAAUUACUGCUCAUGGAACUGGGAAUUUAUAUGUACAAAGAUCGAAGCGAGAGGGUUGACAACCUUCGAAACCAAACCCCACCCCUUCGAAACCAAACCGUCCAGACCAAGAUUCAGGAGUCAGAUGUCCUAAUCUUUCUUAAGUACCCUUCCACCUACUGUCGUCAUCUCUAUAAUUAGUUCAGUCUUUAUCAAGAUAUGCAGAACGGGAUCCAAUUUAGAAAAGGAGAUAUGUGCAGGGGCUACUAAAAUGAUGUCUCAUCUCACUGAAUGCAGCUGAACCUAGCAGAAAAACAGAUCUAGUUUGCCAUUCCAAAAGUACUACAGAAACAUAUUCCAAUCGGUGAAAUUUUCAGAAGUUUCAGUUGAGUUAAAUCUCAUCUGCAAAACAUUCUAUAGAAAUUUAAAUACAGUAUUGGGGGUGAUAAUAAUUGGCCUGGAUUUGACAAGAACAGUAUGUUAUCCUCGCCGCUAGCGUUGUGAUGUUGUCCAGCUUUUGACUAGUUUGUCAAUUGAGCUAUUUUCAAGGAAAGAUAGUCGAAAUGAUAGCAACAAAUAUAGACCUCAAAGCAAGUCAGGGCACCAAUAAAGAAUUUAAACAAUAGUAUGCAAAGAUGCCUCAGAAAUCUCCUACAAAAUCUAGGUAGUUUAACAUAAACAACUAGUGCAUCUACAAUUUCAUCUGUCAACAAGUCACUUUUAAACUUACUGAGACAAUAAGAUAUUAACACUAUAGGAAUGUACUAUGAAGACGUUCUGUAUGGUAAAGGUUACAAACAAAAGGAUAAAGCAUGACAACCUCGAGCAGCAUCAGUUCUAUAAUUGUAAUAGUUGGAGUUUCCAUGAACAAGUGUUUGCAAUCUUUAAAGUAAAAUACCACAGGACUAAGAUUAGUUAACUGCUGAUUGGGUAGUAUUGAGAAAGAUAGAACCAUAGCAGACCUUAGAAAUCCCCAAAAUAAACAUGUAACAUAAACAGACUCAGGUUACGAUAUGGCCCAAAAACACAACCCAGAAACACUAUGUAAAAUAUCACCUUAGAAAAUGAUCAACCUGUUUUCCUCUUUUUCCUUUCAAUAGUCAUGGGUACACUUCAUUAGAUCAUCAUGUAUUUAAAGAACAAGAGUAGUAAAUGUAGAAUAGCACCCCAUUCUCUUUCUCAAUAUAAUCCUGUAUCUCCAGGAUACAGAAUCCACAACACCUCAAAGACAAAGUUA